CCUCUCCCUCUGAACACAUCUUGUACUAAGAUCUUCCUUCAGAUUAGGGAGAAAGGCCUCUUACGACAACCAAACCCCAUGAAGGCUACUCAUAAAGAUCGAUCCAAAUAUUGCAGGUUCCACCAGGACUACGAUCAUGAUACGGAGGACUACCACGACCUUCGAAACCAGAUCGAGGAAUUAAUCCGGAGAGGUCACCUCGAGCACUACCUCAGGGAGCCAAGAGAGAUAUCUCCGCGUCCUUGAGGGCCUGUCGAGAAACAAAUCGACGUCAUCAUCGGUGGACCGACAGCCGAUGACAAAUAGCAUGACGACGAGGAAGGCCUACGCACGUAGCACGGUGGAGAAAUGCCCCAAACCCGAGUACGAGCCCGAAAUCACCUUCGGAACCAAAGAGGUCGAAUGCUCCCACCACGAUGAUGCCUUGGUGAUCUCCAUCCAAAUCGCCAACUCCCAGGUGAAAAGAGUAAUGGUCGACACCAGGAGCUCUACCGACGUGCUAUACCUCGACGCUUUCAAGAAGCUUGGCUUAAUCGAUAGGAACUUCACCCCCAUGGCAUCAGCACUCACUGGGUUCAUGGGGGAUUCCAUCUCCCCGCUCGGGACCACCAUCCUCCUUGUCACCAUCGGGGAGGAACGUCAUCCUCGACCUCCCGACACUCAACAAACUAAAAGCAGUAGUUUCCACCUACCACCGUGCCAUCAAAUUUCCAACUUCGGCGGGGCUCGGGGAAUCCCAAAGCAAUCUGGGAGAAUCAAGGCGGUUUUACCUUACGACGGUUACUCUCCUAGAGAAGUCAUGCCCCCAUCAAGUCCCGAAUUCCCAUGGAGAAGGUGUAACACCAACGCACCUGGAGCCCCCUGAGCAACUCACCGAAGUACCCUUGAAGAGGGACCGACCCGAUUUGAUCAUAAAAAUUGGGACAACACUCCCCGAAGCAAACCAGCUCCAGCUCAUCGAUUUCCUGAAGGAAAAUACCGAUAUGUUUGUGUGGUCCUCAAAGGAGAUGCCCGGAAUCGACCUAGGGGUAACCCAACACCACCUCAACAUCCACCCCGAGGCUAGGCCGGUGAAGCAAAAGUCAAGGAGGUUUGCUCCUCAUUGACAAAAGGCAAUCAGCGAUGAGGUCGACCACUAAAAGAGGCAAGAUUUAUAACCGGGGUGAAAUACCCUUGAUGGUUGUGUUGACUACACCGAUCUCAACCGAGCAUGCCCCAAAGAUUGCUAACCACUCCCGAGAAUAUAUCAGCUGGUCGAUGCCACCACAUGCUACGAACUCCUCAUGUUUAUUGAUGCAUUCUCGGGCUACAACCAGAUCCGGAUGGCACUACAAGACCAAGAGAACACUACCUUCAUCACCGAUAAAGGAGUGUAUUUCUACAAAGUGAUGCCUUUCGGCCCAAAAAUUAUCGGGACGACUUACCAAAGAAUGGUCGACAAGCUAUUCAAACAACAACUCGGGAGGAACAUGAAAGUGUACGUAAACGAUAUGAUCGUGAAGAGCAAGACAGCAAGCACACAUCUGGCCAACCUGGCGGAGACAUUCUGAAUGCUAAGGUGGUUCAACAUGCGUGAAUCCCUCGAAGUGUGUCUUCAGGGUUAGCUCGGGAAAAUUCCUCGGGUUCUCAUCCGCUAGAGAGGGAUAGAUGCCAACUCGAAAAAAGUUCAGGCCAUAACAGAGAUGCAGCCUCCUUGUUCGAUCAAGGAGGUGCAGCACCUCGCAAGAAAGCUAGCGGUGCUCAGCAGGUUCGUAUCGCGAUUAGGCGACAAGUGCCUCCCCUUCUUCCGAGCUCUUCGACAGGCCGACAGCUUCACAUGUACCUCGGAAUGUGAGGAAGUCUUCAAAAAGCUAAAGGCGUGUCGAGGCGCGAGAGUCAUCUUCUUCGCCUUCUUCUUCGAGUUGGUCGGUGGCUGAGGUGUGAGAGUCAUCUUCUGGGAGCUCGGGGGUAGAGGUUAUUUGCUCAUCUUCGGGGGGCGUGCCUUUGGAGGCCUCAAAGGGCUUUGCCGCACUUGAAACCAUCAAGUCGUGGCAUGACGUAGACUCGGUGGUGACCGAGGAACUUUUGGGGACGAUUCGGGAUUGCUACUGUAUCCCGAAGUGUUAUGGGAUUUAUGCUCCUCGGCCCGAUCAAUGACCAUAUGAUCCAUUUCCCGACGAAUUUGGGCUGACUGUGGGUGCCCUUGAGGCGGGACUACGGUUCCUGUUGUAUCCCGUCAUCGAGGAGUGCCUCCGUAAGUGGGAAAAAUCGUCGUCCCAAAUGGCGUUAAACUCUUGGUGCUAUAUAGUGGCUUUCCUCGGGGAGUGUCGGGGAGCAGGGAUCAAGCCGACCUGGACGUUCUUCUUGACUUGCUUCCGUCUAUGCAAGGGGCAAGGUGGGUAUCACUUGACCGCCCGUGGUGGUUUCAAGAUCAGCGACGCUCCUUUCAAUAAGGAAGAAUCACUAUUUCUUUAUCAGUUAUAGUCGGGGGUGAGGUUUCAAUAUUGAAUGGAUUUCUCAAACCAUCAACAAUGUCUCACCGUUUUUAAAUAUGCUCGUCCAAUUGAUUCUAAAUGUGCUCUAAAUGGCACAUCAGUUCACCGACAGAGGGGAAAAUGCUUCUAAAUGUGCUCGUCCAAUUGAUUCUCUUCUCGAUCUUGAUGUGCCAAUUGAUCAAACGCACAUGACGGUGUUCGUGAACAUACAUUGAAGAUCACGGAUGGAGUUUUUGGCUUGCCGGGGAUGGUGUGUAGAGAAACACACAAGGCCACCCUGUGAAGUCGAGAAGGGAAGGAAAGAUCCAACUGCAGGACAGUACCAACGGCUUGGCUUUUAUUCGCUGUACAGGUGAGGGAUGAGAUGGACGGAUGAUCUAAUAUUAUAUUGCAGUGUUGAGGGUAUCCAAUCAUUGUACGUCUGACAGUAGUCGUAGGAGUGCCCUAAAAUACAAAAACAGGAUGUGAUUAAGUAAUUUAGAAGUUGAUAAGAGUAGACUUGCCUCCGAUGUGCUAUCCAGACUUCAUCAACACAUAGUUAAUACCUUAGCAAUAUAAGGGUGACAGUUUAGUCGACAUUUCAACAUAAACUAUAUAGAACAUGAAGCUUUUCAACUCCCAACGAGUAUAAUACGAGGCGAUCUAGUAGAUUCAAUGAAUUUACUCUCUAAGUAAACCCAUAACUAUAUCUUUGAUUCUCAUUAUCAUUAUUCAAUUCCCUACAACUGUCUACUACACCAUACAAAAGCCCAAGUACGCUAUUGUAUAAAGCGACCAAGUCACAUCUCAUUCGUUUCAAGUAAAUCUGAUUUGGAUUACACUCUAAAGACUUGUCUUUAUCGAGUUUAUUAAUUUAAACAUUGAAAGGGUUUUAUCGGACAAGUUUGUUUUGUCUUCUAAAUUGAUGCUCGACGAUGGCAAGAGAGGGUUUGCUGCAGCCAUCAUUGUACUAUUCUGAUCCCAUCGUGAGGCAUGCGUGACCAACCAACCUUGCCCACAGAUGGUACUCGAUGCAGCCAUCCUUGUACUAUUCUGAUCCCAUCGAGAGGCAUGCGUGACCAACCAACCAUGCCCACAGAUGGUACUCGAUGCAGCCAUCACUAGCAUAGUAUGUCAACACGAUCUUGGGUAUCAUUUCUUACAAUAAUAAUAAUGAUAAGAACGUCGAGUCCCACGUUGAUGUUCUGGAAUCGACGUUCUUAUCGGUUUUCGUUAAAUUCAACUCGGCUCAUGUACGUAAUUGACAUAAAUGAGUCACAUUGGGUGCGUAUCUAAUUUUUUUUUGACUCUAAGCUCCUCUUAUUGCACGUCCAUGCAUCGAACGUAUAUCAAAGUAAUAUGGAUGACACAACACCGAGACUUUUAGGUAGACGUCUGUCGCAAACAUCCCCGAUUUCCUCAGAGACUUUGAGACGUGAAACUGACAACUCUUCUACCUCUCUCUAGGAAUUAAUCACCUAAUCUCCUUCUUGAAUCACGUGUUAUAUGACCAUCAACCAUCAGCCUUUAGCCGGCACCGAGACAAUGACAAUUAUGAGCCUUUUCAACACUUCAUAUCUUUCAGGAUUGCAUAGUCUCUUGCUUAGUCAACGUGCUUUAUCUCCCUUAUUUUAUAUGAUUUUUUUUCUGACACCUAAUUGUUACGUAAACCGUGAUCAAGCUAUAUAUAUAUAUAUAUAUAUAUACCUAGACCAACUCUGGACAAUCAUCAUGGCUGCUACACGCAUUGCCCUGUUCGCGUCCGGCCUCGCCGUCUUGCUUCUCCUGGUCCAAGGAUCGCCGCCAGGGCCCGUUGUCCAGUGCCGGUCCGGCAACACUAACUGCACCGUGACCAACGGCUAUGGGGCCUUCCCUGAUCGCAGCACCUGCCACGUCGCCGCGGUCGCGUACCCUAAGACCGAACAGGAGCUCCUGUUCGCUGUCUCCGGCGCCACCGCGAAGCAGCAGCACAUGAAGGCGGUCACGAGGUACUCCCACAGCAUCCCCAAGCUGUCGUGCCCCGGCGGGCCGAGUGGCCAGGGCCUGGUCAUUAGCACCCAGCGCCUCAACAGAUCGGUGCGCGUGGACAUGGCCACCUCGCGGAUGACGUUCGAGGCAGGGAUCACACUUAGGCAGCUCCUCGACGCGGCGGCCGCCCGUGGCCUGGCGCUGCCCCACUCGCCAUAUUGGCAAGGGGUGACGCUGGGAGGGCUGCUGAGCACCGGCUCGCACGGGAGCUCGUUGUUCGGGAAAGGCUCAGCGGUGCACGAAUAUGUGGUGGGGAUGANNNNNNNNNNNNNNNNNNNNNNNNNNNNNNNNNNNNNNNNNNNNNNNNNNNNNNNNNNNNNNNNNNNNNNNNNNNNNNNNNNNNNNNNNNNNNNNNNNNNNNNNNNNNNNNNNNNNNNNNNNNNNNNNNNNNNNNNNNNNNNNNNNNNNNNNNNNNNNNNNNNNNNNNNNNNNNNNNNNNNNNNNNNNNNNNNNNNNNNNNNNNNNNNNNNNNNNNNNNNNNNNNNNNNNNNNNNNNNNNNNNNNNNNNNNNNNNNNNNNNNNNNNNNNNNNNNNNNNNNNNNNNNNNNNNNNNNNNNNNNNNNNNNNNNNNNNNNNNNNNNNNNNNNNNNNNNNNNNNNNNNNNNNNNNNNNNNNNNNNNNNNNNNNNNNNNNNNNNNNNNNNNNNNNNNNNNNNNNNNNNNNNNNNNNNNNNNNNNNNNNNNNNNNNNNNNNNNNNNNNNNNNNNNNNNNNNNNNNNNNNNNNNNNNNNNNNNNNNNNNNNNNNNNNNNNNNNNNNNNNNNNNNNNNNNNNNNNNNNNNNNNNNNNNNNNNNNNNNNNNNNNNNNNNNNNNNNNNNNNNNNNNNNNNNNNNNNNNNNNNNNNNNNNNNNNNNNNNNNNNNNNNNNNNNNNNNNNNNNNNNNNNNNNNNNNNNNNNNNNNNNNNNNNNNNNNNNNNNNNNNNNNNNNNNNNNNNNNNNNNNNNNNNNNNNNNNNNNNNNNNNNNNNNNNNNNNNNNNNNNNNNNNNNNNNNNNNNNNNNNNNNNNNNNNNNNNNNNNNNNNNNNNNNNNNNNNNNNNNNNNNNNNNNNNNNNNNNNNNNNNNNNNNNNNNNNNNNNNNNNNNNNNNNNNNNNNNNNNNNNNNNNNNNNNNNNNNNNNNNNNNNNNNNNNNNNNNNNNNNNNNNNNNNNNNNNNNNNNNNNNNNNNNNNNNNNNNNNNNNNNNNNNNNNNNNNNNNNNNNNNNNNNNNNNNNNNNNNNNNNNNNNNNNNNNNNNNNNNNNNNNNNNNNNNNNNNNNNNNNNNNNNNNNNNNNNNNNNNNNNNNNNNNNNNNNGAUGAGGCUGGUGGUUCCACGUCCGGUCCCGGUGAACGGAUACUACGCCAAGAUCGUUAACCUUGGUGAGGAUGAUCCUGAUCUCUUGGCUGCCAAGGUUUCUCUCGGUGUUCUCGGAGUUAUUUCUCAGGUAUAUAUGUGGUGGCGAACGUGUUAUUCUUUGUUCUUUACACAGUUUGAGAUCCAUGUGAUAACUCAUCUUGGUUCUUCAUGGUGGUUCUUCCAACCACGUCAAGUACUUUCAUAAACUGAGUACAGGACUUGCCACGUCUCGAUGCUAAUUAGGUGCAACUAUAUCUUUAAUUCUUCAUGUUAUAAUAGAGAUCAUCCUAUUGUUAUAAGCAAGGCUUUGUUUGCACUACGUCAGCAAAAUGUCUAGACAAAAAAAAAGAAAAACUUGUUUUCUAUCAAAUCACUUUACAAAGGAGAAGACCUGUUCUUUACCUAGAAUCUAGAAAGUAAUGUUAAAUAAUAGGCAGUUGAUGAUCCCAGUGGACUUUAGUUUUAAUCUUUUCCUUCUUUUCUUGCUUUGCGUGUCUUCCUUGUUGGGCUAAUGCAAACCUUUGAAUCGUUCUAAUGAUUCCAUGUACCUGCACUCGUAGUUUAUAGUAACUACACGACGCAAUUGAGUGUUAUGGAACAUAUGAGCACAUGCAAACCCACACGGACAAAGAUCAGAGAAAAAGCAAACUUAUAUGAGAGCGAGUGCAUGAUUUGAAGCUUUGCAUGUAGUUAUAUCUUAUAAUGAAUAGUAUUUUCCUUGUAAGAACAGCUACAGUGACGUUGAUGAUGGCUCGGUGUAAAUGAGAGUGGCCCUUCACAUACGGAGCCUCGCGCAAGGCAAGAGGCAGGCAGGUCCAUACUGCCUUGCCUUGCAGAGCUUACAACCGGGCCCACUAAUUACAUCGGACGAUAGGGGAUGCCAAUAGUAGUAGUUCUUGUUUCAAUCUUGUUGCCUGAAUUGCUGAAAAGAGUUGACAUGCAAUACAUGUAAGCUUUUGUUCUGCUGCUUCAUGAGAAGUAAUCUACGAAUUUCUUGAACCGAUCGACCAGGUCACCCUCCAACUUGAGCCAAUGUUCAAGCGAUCCAUCACCCACAGGGUCAUAGGCGACGUUGGCUUCGAGCAAACCAUCUCCUCGUACGCUGUCACUACGUACUAUGGAGACAUCAGCUGGUUUCCGUCACAAGGCAGAGUGGUGUACCGCGAUGAUAUCAAGGUCCCCAUCACCACCAAAGGAAAGGGUGAAAACGAUUUGCUAGUGUUUCGAGCGCAGUCCUCCAUCGACGUAGUCUCUGCACGUGCUUCAGGUCUUAUAUAUUGCAGCUUUUAUUUUGCUUGACAAUCUUGAUGUAGUGUUCGAGCAGUCUCGUACGAGAUUUAUACUAACAAGGCAUCUCUUGUCCUCUACCAUGUGUUUGUGUUUAUGACUGCAGAGGAACUAUUGGAAUUAACAGGAAAUGCCGGAGGCAAAUGCGUGCUUUCCAGAUCGCAAGUAGAUACUCAGAUCGAGAACGGCAUGGGGCUUAAGAACAAUGACGGCGGCUUGUCAGAUUUCACCGGCUAUCCGGUCAUUGGAAACCAAAGCGACAUGCAAUCCUCCGGUAGGUCCUCCAAUUAUCCGAAGAAUAUAUAUGAUGACACAUGUAACACCUGAAUUAAUUAGUCUGAACCAUCAUCUCUCCAGGUUCGUGCCUAAGGAGUGCAGAAGACAACCUUCUCACAGCCUGUGGAUUUGACCCUCGCUUUGCGGGGUCCUUCUACCACCAAACCGCGAUAAGCAUCCCCUUCACCACCGUUGCAGACUUCAUCGCCGACGUCAAGAAGCUCCGCGACGCCCACUCCAACGCACUCUGCGGCACCGAGCUGUACUUUGGCUUCUUCAUGCGCUUUCUCCGCAACUCCACGGCCUAUCUUGGNNNNNNNNNNNNNNNNNNNNNNNNNNNNNNNNNNNNNNNNNNNNNNNNNNNNNNNNNNNNNNNNNNNNNNNNNNNNNNNNNNNNNNNNNNNNNNNNNNNNNNNNNNNNNNNNNNNNNNNNNNNNNNNNNNNNNNNNNNNNNNNNNNNNNNNNNNNNNNNNNNNNNNNNNNNNNNNNNNNNNNNNNNNNNNNNNNNNNNNNNNNNNNNNNNNNNNNNNNNNNNNNNNNNNNNNNNNNNNNNNNNNNNNNNNNNNNNNNNNNNNNNNNNNNNNNNNNNNNNNNNNNNNNNNNNNNNNNNNNNNNNNNNNNNNNNNNNNNNNNNNNNNNNNNNNNNNNNNNNNNNNNNNNNNNNNNNNNNNNNNNNNNNNNNNNNNNNNNNNNNNNNNNNNNUGUGUCACUUCCUCUUUGAAUAAACGACGUAAUGUCAGUCAAUAAUUGCUACAUAAUAUUAUAUUGUAAUAUUAAAGCAAGGGUCGACAAAUGCUAUAUUGUAUGGGAGGCUGAUUACGUUCCUUCUGAUUUAUCUGUACUGGUCCAAGAUGACUUAUACAAGCCAUUCUAUGGAACUAUAAUGUCUUAAUCAAUUUCUUUAUGGGAAAACAAUUAGUGCAUAAUUUCUCAUUAUUUUUAAUAGCAAGAUCCCAAUGUGACUCGCCAGUAUCCGUUGCAUGAAAGGGACGAGGUAGCAAGAAAUAACGGUGCCAUUAUUAGUGCCAUCGUGUGGAGAGACAUAGUAUGUUAACGUGAUAUUCUUCGCUGUUGCUAAAGGAUGAAUAUCUAGAUCCAUUCGAUUAUGAGUUAUAUACGACUUACGAGUCUUACAUUCAUGAAAAAUUAACCAACUCUCUAUUUAGUGGAAUGAGAGAGAGAAUUAUUGAGUUGCUGGAACUUAUACAUAGUGAUGCAUGUGGUCCUGUGUUUAUUCAUGCCAUAAAAGGUUAUUCUUAUUUUAUUAUAUUUACUGAUGAUUUCUUUAUAUAUGAACAAGUAUACUUGAUGAAAUACAAGUCCAAGACCUUCUAGAAAUUCAAAAAUAUAAGAAUAGUGUAGAAAAUUAGAUUGGAAAGAGUAUCAAGACUCUUCAAUCAAAUCGAGAAGGUGAGUACUUAAGUGUAAAGUUUACACAGUUCCUCAAGGAUCAUGAGAUUCUAUCUCAAUGGAUACCUCAUUAUACACCUCAACUCAAUAGUAUAUUGGGAACGAGGAAUCGCAUGUUGGCACGCUAUUAAAAAUGGUGUGGUCUAUGAUGAGUUUCGCCAGCCUACCCAUCUCAUUCUAAGGAUAUGCCUUAGAGUCUGCAGCUUGCCUUCUGAACAGAAUUCCGAUUAAGUCGGUAGUGUCUACACUAUAUGAGAUAUAGAAAGGGAAGAAGUCUGAUCUUAAGGUUGUUAAGAUUUGAAGCUGCCCUGCCCACGUUAGAACAUACAACCCCGACAAAUUGAAAUCUAGGACGGAACGAUGCAAAUUCAUAGGAUAGCCUGAGAAACCUUGUGGGUAUUAUUUCUAUCAUCUCGAGGACUAAAAAGUCUUUGUAGCUAAGAGGGUAGUAUUCCUUGAGAAAAAACACAUUCUCGGUAGAGAAAAUAAGAGCAUGAUAGAGUUGAGUGAGGUUUGAGAACCACAACCCGAGUUUGUUUAGAUACAUAGCACAUAAAUUUUGACUUUAUGUAGGUCCAACAUAGUACCCCAUCCUCCUAAAAGAUAUGUGAGAUAUAUCAAAAGAGAUGAUGUUGAGGAUAUUGAUCUUUAGAUCUAUGAUGAGGCUAUUAUAAGUAUAGACUCCGUGAAGUGGCAAGAAGCAUGAACUCUAAGAUGGAUUCCAAGUAUUUCAAAAAGGUUUAGAACUUAGUUGAUGCACCUGAGGGUAUGUACCCAUUGGUUGUAAGUGUAUCUUUCAGAAGAUGAUUGGAGUAAAUAGAAAGGUGAAGAUCUAUAAAGAAAAGCUAGUGGUUAAGGGAUAUCAUCAAAGGUAAGGUGUUGACUAUGAUGAAACAUUCUCACUUAUAGUUAUGCUAAAAUUUAUUCGAAUUCUAUCGGUUAUUGCAACAUUCUAUGAAUAUGAGAUCUAGUAGAUGGACAUGAAAAUCAUGUUUCUCAACAACAACUUCGAGAAGGAGAUGUAUAUAAUAUAAUAUAAGAGAUUUGUGUCCAAAGAAUAUCCGUAUAAUAUGUGUAGGUUGCUUAAGUUCAUUUAUAAACUAAAGCAAGCUUUCCGAAAUUGGAACAUGAGGUUUGAUGAGACGAUCAAAUCUUAUUAUUUCGUUAAGAAUGAAGAUGAGCCUUGAGUGUAUAGGAAGACAAGUGAGAGUGCUAUCAACUUCUUAGUACUAUAUAUGGAUGACAUUCUGAUCAUUGAGAAUGAUAUAUGAAUGCUCUUCAUGGUAAAAGCUUAGUUAUCUAGACAUUUUUUCAUAAAAGACUCAGGGGAAGUAUCAUAUAUCUUGGCGAUUCAGAUCUAUAGAGAUAGAUCUAAGAGAAUACUUGACUUGUCUCAAUUUAAGUAUAUAGACAUCAUUAUCAAAAAGUUUAACAUGAAAAAAUCUAAAAGAUCUCUCGUAUCGAUGAGAUAUGAGAUAUCACUUUCUAGGAGCAUGUCACUAAAUACUUUUGAAGAAAGGGCAAACUUAGAUAGGAUACCCUAUGCCUUAGGAUCUAUCAUGUAUAUUAUGUUAUAUAUCAUGCUUGAUAUAACGUAUGCUUUAUGUGUUACAAGUAAAUAUUAGGUGGAUCCAGGUUUAAAACAUUGGAAUGUAGUAAAAUAUAUAUUUAAAUACUUGAGAAGGACUAAGGAUCUUUUACUGGUAUAUAGAUGAAGUAGCCUCAGGGUUGAGGGUUAUAGAGACUUGAGUUUCCAAUCCGAUGUUGAUAAUAAUAAGUCUAAUUUAAGGUAUAUGCCCUAAAUAGAGGAGUAGUAUGCUAGAAAAGUUUCAAGCAAGAUACUACUACUGACUCGACCAUAGAAGCGGAGCACAUUACUGUAAUAAAAGCAACGAAAGAAAGAGUUUGAAUGAAAAAGUUCAUUACAGAUCUGAGCCACAAAGGCAGUAGUGGCCCACAUGCCACCUUGUUCUUUACACAAGGGUUAUGAGUGAAGUACACAUAGGUAGGGCCAUAGUGCUAGUCAUAGGUGUCGUACAAGCCAAUCAUGUGAGUGAUGAUACAUAUGACAUGAUACGUACUCUUUUUACUUAUUAUUUUUUUUAUAUUUUUCUUACUUUAUGUUGCAUGUUGCAUGUAUAUUGAUGUCUACGAAUAUGCACAAUGAGAAUUAAAUUGUGAUAAGAUCACAAUAAUAAGAUCGAUUCACCUUUAAAUAUAGACCAUAAAAAAUCAUAAUUAUAGGUUACUCGAAAGUGACAUCGAAAUAACUGGACAGAUUGGUGUAUUGUAUACCUUUCUAUAUGAUGGAGAUAGUUGGUUUUAUAGUUUCUUGUGUGAGGACACUAGGGAUAUAGUACAAGUAUUAAUUGAAGAAUGAGUUUACUGAUUGAUCCACUCACGAAAUACUGGAUGGUUGAUGAUACCUCAUUGGGUGUAACAACCAAUCUUAGUAGGCUAAUUGAGUAUCGAUAGAGGAUUAUCCACUCUCGGUAUCAUGAGAGAAAUAUUAUAUAUAUUCUUACUUAAGUAAAUCCCUAGUUAGGAUUAUUCGAAUUGAGAGAGAAAAAGUCUUUCGAGAGAAUUCGAUUAGAGCGAGACUCGAGUAAAAACUGUAUAGGCCUAAUAGCACCAUGAUCGGUAUAUGGUCUAUGAGAUAUUAGAAAGAUAAGAGACUAUAGAUACAUGGUAAUUGAGGACAAAUAGGUCCAAUGGAUUGGAUUCUCUUAUAACAUUUGAGGACUGCGACGUAGUGGCCUAGUAUGUUCAUAGUCGAUAAAUCAAGUGAAUUAUUAUAAAAGAUAAUAAUUCACUAAAUCAUAAGGAGUUCUAAUAUGACUCACGAUUAACUCAAUAUUGGGCCUAGAGGGUCACACAUAUAUGAUAGAUGUUGGAACAAACAAAGGUUCGGACAUGAGAUAUCCGUUGAAGCCCCUAUCUUAUUGGAUAUCCAGUAAUCCCUUGAAUUAUUGAAUAUCCAGUAAGUCCAUGAAUUAUUGGAUCUUGUACUCACUUUUGUAGGGGGAGCUGUGUCAUGGCAAUCCACAUUAUAAAGGCGUAGUGCUCUCUCCACCAAAGAGACAAAAUAUAUUGCUGCAGAGGUUUGCAAAAAAAUAUUAUGAAUAAAAUUUUUUUUACAAGAAUUGAAGCUGAAAUAAAAAAAGUUAUGUGGUAUAUUGUGAUAGCUAGAGUGCCAUCCACGUAUGUAAGAAUCCCAUUUUUUAUUCCAAGUUAAAGUAUAUAGAUGUUAGAUACCACUAAAAUUAAAAUAUAUUUAAAGAGAAGCAGUUGUAACAUCAGAAAAUUCAUAUAAAUGAUAACGGGACAAACAUGUUGACAAAGAUUUUGCUGAAAGAAAGAUAAGAAAUGUGCCGACGAUUGGUCGACAUGACUUCAUAUUUAAGAGCUGAAGGGGGAGGUUAUUGGGCACAUACCCAUUAAUUAAGUCCAUAGUAGACCUUAAUAAUGCAUAGCUCAAAACAACUAUUUAACCAUUUCUCUUUUACAAGGCAAAAAGGGGACUUGCUGUUGUUGUGGGCAUGGUUGAAAAAAGAAAAUUACAACAGUGGUGGUUGAGAGAAAAAAAGACAAGACAAUGUAGAAAUCGUUUUCAAUUAUCUGCGCACUAUUCUAGUCUCAGAUUUGAUCAGACUUGUAACAGAUUUUUAUUAUGAUUAUGAAAGGAAUGAGGUUUUAGAUAAUGUAAUCUUUGUAUUCUUAUUAUUCUCUUAUGAUUAUUGCUCAAAUCUAAGAUUUAUAAUAGAUUUAUACAUUCACUAUCGAGAUUUAUAUAUUUAUUAUUUUUAUAAUAGAUUUACUUCUUGGCUUACCAUAUGAUUUUUUUUUUCAUUUGUAUCGAAGAGGAUUUUUACAUACAUUUUGAUGUUCUAUGUGACUAAUUUUCGUUUAAUUUUUUUACUGCUUAUUACGAUCUACUCGUAUUUAUUCAUAUAUAAGUUUUUUUUACCCAUCAUAUUCCAAAAUAAUGAAGUUGGCUUCAUGCUACUAAUUUCUUUGACGGGAAAUGCGUCUAAAUGUGCUCGUCCAACUGAUGCUUUCUCAAUCUUGAUGUUCCAAUUGAUCAAACGCACAUUCGGUGUUCGUGAACAUACGUUGAAGAUCGCGGAAGGGGUUUUUUUGGCUUGCUGUGGAUUGUGUUGAGAAACACACGAGGCCAGAGAAGUCCCUGUGAAGUUGCGAAGGCAAGGGAAGAUAAUAGUGCAGGACAUUACCAAUGGCUUGGCUUUUAUUCCCUGUAAAGGCGAGGGAUGAGAUUGACUGAUGAUCUAAUAUUAUAUUGCAGUGUUGAGGGUGUCCAAUCAUCGGAGGUCUGACAGUAGCUGAAGGUGUGCCUUAAAAAACAAAAAACAGCAUGUCAGUAUGACAUGUCCUAUAAACAAUAAAAAAAAACUUUGUCAGUACGUGAUUAAGUUAAAAAAAAUAAAAAAGGUAUGUGAUUAAGUAAUUUAGUAGUUGAUAAGAGUAGACUGGCCUCUGAUGUGCUAUCCAGACUUCAUCAACCCAUGGUCAAUACCUUGGCAAUAUAAGGGUGACAGUUCAGCAACAUGUAGUCGGCUUUUCAACAUAAAAUAGAUAGGACAUGAAGCUUUUCAACUCCCAAUGUGUAAUAUGAGGCGGCCUCAUAGAUUCAAUGAAUUUACUGUCUACGUAAACUCAUAACUAUAUCUUUGAUUCUCAUGAUCAUUAUUCAAUUCCCUACAACUGUCUACUACACCAUAAAAAUAAACCUGAUUUGGAUUACACUCUAAAGACUUAUUUUUAUUAAGUUUAUUAAUUUAAGCAUUGAAAUAAUUUUAUCCUAUAUAGUCCCGAGUGAAUGGAUUUGAAGUUCAUUAUUCUUCUUAUAAUAUUCUUAGAAAAAAAGGUUCAUGGAUUUGAGUUAUCCUCUAGUCCGACAAUCAAAAUUCAUUGUAAUAUUAUAAAAUAAAAAUAAAGUAUGUGUCAAUUUUGAGUUUGUUUUGUCUAUGCUCGACGAUAGCAAGAGGGAGGGUUUGCUGCAGCCAUCCUUCUACUAUUUUGAUCCCAUCGUAAGGCAUGCAUGACCAACCAACCUUGCCCAAGAUAGUACUCCAUGCAACCAUCACUAGCAUAGUAUGUCAACACGAUCUUGGAUAUCAUUUCUUACGAUAAUAAUAAUGAUAAGAAUGUUGCGUCCCACGUUGAUGUUCUUGUCGGUUUUCUUAAAAUUCAACUCGGCUCACUUACGUGAUUGACAUAAAUGAGUCACAAUGGGUGCGUAUCUAAUUUUUUUUACUCUAAGCUCCUCUUAUUGGACGUCCAUGCAUCGAUAAGUAUAUCUAAGCAAUAUGGAUGACACGGCACCGAGACUUUUACGUAGACGUCUCUCGCACAUCAUCGCCGAUUUCCUCAGAGACUUUGAGACGCAAAACUGACAACUCUUCUACCUCUCUCUAUGAAUUAAGUACUUAAUCUCGUUCUUGCAUCACGCAGCCUUUACCCGGAACCGAGACAUUGACAAUUAUGAGCCAUAUCAACACUUCAUAUUUUUCAGGAUUGCAUAAUCUCUUGCUAAGUCAACGUGCUUUAUCUCCCUUAUUUUAUAUGAUUUUUUUCGGACACCUAAUUGUUACGUAAACCGUGAUCAAGCUAUCUAUCGAAUUUAACCUAUAUAUAUAUAUACCCAGACCAACUCUGGACAAUCAUCAUGGCUGCUACACGCAUUGCCCUGUUCGCGUCCGGCCUCGCCGUCUUGCUUCUCCUAGUCCAAGGAUCGCCACCAGGGCCCGUUGUCCAGUGCCGGUCCGGCAACACUAACUGCACCGUGACCAACGGCUAUGGAGCCUUCCCUGAUCGCAGCACCUGCCACGUCGCCGCGGUCGCGUACCCUUCGACCGAACAGGAGCUCCUGUUCGCUGUCUCCGACGCCACCGCGAAGCAGCAGCACAUGAAGGCGGUCACGAGGUACUCCCACAGCAUCCCCAAGAUGUCGUGCCCCGGCGGGCCGAGUGGCCAGGGCCUGGUCAUUAGCACCCAGCGCCUCAACAGAUCGGUGAGCGUGGACAUGGCCACCUCGCGGAUGACGUUCGAGGCAGGGAUCACACUUAGGCAGCUCCUCAACGCGGCGGCCGCCCGUGGACUGGCGCUGCCCCACUCGCCGUAUUGGCAAGGGGUGACGCUGGGAGGGCUGCUGAGCACCGGCUCGCACGGGAGCUCGUUGUUCGGGAAAGGCUCAGCGGUGCACGAAUAUGUGGUGGGGAUGAGGCUGGUGGUUCCAAGUCCGGUCCCGGUGAACGGAUACUACGCCAAGAUCGUUAACCUUGGUGAGGAUGAUCCUGAUCUCUUGGCUGCCAAGGUUUCUCUCGGUGUUCUCGGAGUUAUUUCUCAGGUAUAUAUGUAGUGACCUAAGUGUUAUUCUUUGUUCUUUACACAGUUUGAGAUCCAUGUGAUAACUCAUCUUAGUUCUUCAUCGUGGUUCUUCCAACCACGUCAAGUACUUUCAUGAACUGAGUGCAUGACUUGCCACGCCUCGAUGCUAACUAGGUGCAACUAUUUCUUUAAUUCUUCAUGAUAUAAUAGAGAUCAUCCUAUUGUUAUUAACAAGGCUUUGUUUGCAAUACGUCAGCAAAAUGUCUAGACAAAAAAAAAAUGUUUUCUACAAAUCACUUUACAAAGGAGAAGACCUGUUCUUUUCCUAGAAUCUAGAAAGUAAUGUAAAAUAAUAGGCAGUCGAUGAUCCCAGUGGACUUUAGUUUUAAUCUUUCCAUUUUUUCUUGGUUUGCUCGACUUCCUUGUUUCAAAAUGGGCUAAUGCAAACCUUUGAACCGUUCUAAUGAUUCCAUAUAGCUUCUCUCGUAGUUUAUAGUAACUACACAACACAAUUGAGUGUUAUGAAACAUAUGAGCACAUGCAAACCCACAUGGACAAAGAUCAGAGAAAAAGCAAACUUAUAUGAGAGCGAGUGCAUGAUUUGAAGCUUUGCAUUUACUUACAUCUUAUAAUGAAUAGUAUUUUCCUUGUAAGAACACCUACAGUGACGUUGAUGAUGGCUCGGUGUAAAUGAGAGUGGCCCUUCACAUACGGAGCCUCGCGCAAGGCAAGAGGCAGGCAGGUCCAUACUGCCUUGCCUUGCAGAGCUUACGACCGGGCCCACUAAUUGCCUUCAAAGCCUCUGUAAAAAGAACUACUACAUCGGACGAUAGAGGAUCCUAGUAGUAGUAUCUCUUGUUUCAAUCUUGUUGCCUGAAUAGCUGAAAAGAGUUGACUUGCAAUACAUGUAAGCUUUUGUUCUGCUGCUUCAUUAUAAGUAACCUAAGAAAUUACUUGAACCGAUCGAGCAGGUCACCCUCCAACUUGAGCCAAUGUUCAAGCGAUCCAUCACCAACAGGGUCGUAGGCGACGUUGGCUUCGAGCAAACCAUCUCCUCGUACGCUGUCACCACGUACUAUGGAGACCUCAGCUGGUAUCCGUCACAAGGCAGAGUGGUGUACCGCGAUGAUAUCAAGGUCCCCAUCACCACCAAAGGAAAGGGUGUAAACGAUCACCUUUUCCUUCGAGCACAGCCCACCCUCGACGUAGCCUCUACACGUGCUUCAGGUCUUAUAUAUUGCAGCUUUUAUUUUGCUUGACAAUCUUGAUGUAGUGUUCGAGCAGUAUCGUACGAGAUUUAUACUGACAAGGCAUCUCUUGUCCUCUACCAUGUGUUUGUGUUUAUGACUGCAGAGGAACUAUUGGAAUUAACAGGAAAUGCCGGAGGCAAAUGCGUGCUUUCCAGAUCGCAUGUAGAUACUCAGAUCGCGAACGGCAUGGGGCUUAAGAACAAUGACGGCGGCUUGUCAGAUUUCACCGGCUAUCCAGUCAUUGGAAACCAAAGCGACAUGCAAUCCUCCGGUGGGUUCUCCAAUUAUCCGAAGAAUGUAUAUGAUGACACAUGUUACACCUGUAUUCUGUAUUAUUUAGUCUGAGGCAUCUUCUCUCCAGGUUCGUGCCUAAGGAGUGCAGAAGACAACCUUCUCACAGCCUGUGCAUGGGACCCUCGCUUUGCGGGGUCCUUCUACCACCAAACCGCGAUAAGCAUCCCCUUCACCACCGUUGCAGACUUCAUCGCCGACGUCAAGAAGCUCCGCGACGCCCACCCGAACGCACUCUGCGGCACCGAGCUGUCCUUGGGCUUCUUCAUGCGCUUCCUCCGCAACUCCACGGCCUAUCUUGGNNNNNNNNNNNNNNNNNNNNNNNNNNNNNNNNNNNNNNNNNNNNNNNNNNNNNNNNNNNNNNNNNNNNNNNNNNNNNNNNNNNNNNNNNNNNNNNNNNNNNNNNNNNNNNNNNNNNNNNNNNNNNNNNNNNNNNNNNNNNNNNNNNNNNNNNNNNNNNNNNNNNNNNNNNNNNNNNNNNNNNNNNNNNNNNNNNNNNNNNNNNNNNNNNNNNNNNNNNNNNNNNNNNNNNNNNNNNNNNNNNNNNNNNNNNNNNNNNNNNNNNNNNNNNNNNNNNNNNNNNNNNNNNNNNNNNNNNNNNNNNNNNNNNNNNNNNNNNNNNNNNNNNNNNNNNNNNNNNNNNNNNNNNNNNNNNNNNNNNNNNNNNNNNNNNNNNNNNNNNNNNNNNNNNNNNNNNNNNNNNNNNNNNNNNNNNNNNNNNNNNNNNNNNNNNNNNNNNNNNNNNNNNNNNNNNNNNNNNNNNNNNNNNNNNNNNNNNNNNNNNNNNNNNNNNNNNNNNNNNNNNNNNNNNNNNNNNNNNNNNNNNNNNNNNNNNNNNNNNNNNNNNNNNNNNNNNNNNNNNNNNNNNNNNNNNNNNNNNNNNNNNNNNNNNNNNNNNNNNNNNNNNNNNNNNNNNNNNNNNNNNNNNNNNNNNNNNNNNNNNNNNNNNNNNNNNNNNNNNNNNNNNNNNNNNNNNNNNNNNNNNNNNNNNNNNNNNNNNNNNNNNNNNNNNNNNNNNNNNNNNNNNNNNNNNNNNNNNNNNNNNNNNNNNNNNNNNNNNNNNNNNNNNNNNNNNNNNNNNNNNNNNNNNNNNNNNNNNNNNNNNNNNNNNNNNNNNNNNNNNNNNNNNNNNNNNNNNNNNNNNNNNNNNNNNNNNNNNNNNNNNNNNNNNNNNNNNNNNNNNNNNNNNNNNNNNNNNNNNUGUGUCGCUUCCUCUUUGAAUAAAAGACGUAAUGUCAGUCAAUAAUUGCUACAUAAUAUUAUAUUGUAAUAUUAAAGCAAGGGUCGACAAAUGCUAUAUUGUAUGGGAGGCAGAUUACGUUCCUUCUGAUUUAUCUGUACUGGUCCAAGAUGACUUAUACAAGCCAUUCUAUGGAAAACAAUUAGUACAUAAUUUCUCAUUAUUUUUAAUAGCAAGAUCCCAAUGUGACUCUCCAGUAUCCGUUGCAUGAAUGGGACGAGGAAGCAAGAAAUAACAGCGCCGUUAUUAAUGCCAUCGUGUGGAGAGAUAUAGUACGUUAACGCGAUAUUCUUCGCUAUCGCUCCUUAAAAUAAUAAUGAUGAUUAAUGAUAAUAUAGCCUAAGACUCACGUAAAUGUUCUGAUGAAUUUUACAUAAAUUACACUUGACCCACGUUUCAUGGCAUAAAUGAAAUGGUAGUUCACACCGGUUCCAUUUCAAAAUUUUGACUCAAAGCUCGUCCUAUGGAUCGCUAGAAUAAACCAUAUGAUAAGCUACAUAAAUACGGAAAUCACAAAGAAGGAUGAUUACUGUAAUUAUGCCUUCCUCGAUCCCCCCAACCCCAAGAAACUAUUGCUCUCUAUAAAUAACUCUAGGGCGCAGCAUCCAAUCAUUGGUUUGUUCCUUUCUCAUCCUCGCAGUAUAAUUUAGAGAUAGGAAGUGGUCGCACCAUGAUCGAGGGAAACAGCAGCGAGAGCAAGCUGAGCCAAUACAUCCGGUCCCCGACCGGGCGCUCCGGCAUGCACGGGACUUGUACGAGAGCAGCAUGGCCGGGACCGAUAAUAUAUGUAUACAUGUCUUGUGAUAAUCUCACGUAAGCUCAUUCAUCUACACAAAAUAACUAGUUUUAGAUCGGGCAAGACAUCCAGAAGUAUUGAUUGUUUAAUAGACGACAGUGUUUAUUUAUGUGCGUGCUUGUUUUCAUCUUAAAAAAAGGAAAUGGCGAAUUCCUAAAACAAUUAUCAACUUUAAGAAUUUUUCAAAUAGCAUUAUAGCAAUUUUUUUAAGACAGAUCAUUCUACCUCUAUCGGCCAUCAUCUUCGCCUUCACAUUGCCAUCGUUGCAGUCCCCCAUAGCCCUCACGCUAGGAAAAUUGGAUUGCGAGGGCCAUUAAUUUCUUCCUGCACCACCUCCCCUCCCCUCUGCUGUAUUAGGCCAAUCAUAUGCAGUCUUCAUGCGAGGAAGGAAGAGACAUGAGAGGAGUCAUCGCCUUUGUAGACUCACCCCUAUACACUUCGCUCGUAGCUCUCGUGUGAGGAAGAACAUGGUGGGAGGGUGGCACCUUCGCAGAUUUGGCCCCUGUCAAACCCAUCAUAAUCUAAUUUAGAUUAUACUAUAAAGACUUAGACUUUUACUGAGUCAACUGAAUCUUUUGAUAAUGCAAAUAUUAUAUAGGUCUUAUCAGGUAUGUUCUCAUAUCUUUUGACAAUACAAACAUUAUAUGGGCAUGUUCUCAGUUCAAUAUUGUAGUUUUGCAAGUCUGAUGUGAGUAGAUUUGGUGUUCUACCUGGUUCUUUUUAUGAAAUUUUUGAAAAAAAAAAUCUAUCUAAUAUGUAUUGUCAAAACAUAAACAUAAUCUAAAAGUAUCUCUUAGAUAUCUUAAUAUCUAUUUUACUAUUAUCUAAUAUUCUUUAUCAAGAUUAGAGAGAAAUGAACUGACAACUCGAACUGCAUGAGCUAUAUCUAGCCUAGUACAUAUCAUAAUAUACAUCAAACUAUUUACCGCAAAUGAAUAAGGCACUUUGAAUAUUUCUUCUUUUUCUUUCUCACUUGUAGGAUCUCACUUAUAGGAUAUUGUUUCGAACUAAGUAUAAAAUGACCUACAAGUGGAGAACAAACUAGUUAAGUUUUAUUUAUUUUAAAAUUUUCAAGAAUAUUUUUAAUAUAGGACUCUUGAGAUAGCCAAAUCAUUCCAUUCUACACCCACACACACACGAACCUCCAAGAGUUCUAGUUUGUAUACUACAAACAUCAGUAAACCAAAUCAAUAACAUUUGAUAUUCUAAAUGAUGAAUAAGUAUGAAAGGUAACUAUAUAUUUUUUUUCUACUAAGCAAUGAUCACAAGAUUUAAAAGAUGUAUCUUACAACUCUGGUAAGAACUAUUUUCUAGCAAGAGUUUGAAGUCCUUUCUUGCUGAUAUGACCAAGCCUCUUAUGCCAAAGAUUUAUACUUUCACCCUUUUGAAUUGCAUUAAUCUCUCCUUUAUAUAGCUUAGCUUCUAUGACAUAGAAAGAGUUUAGCUUCUUUACUCUCAUCACAACUAGAUAACUUUUGGUAAGCUUUCAUUUGCUUUCACCAAAAUAGUGUACAAAUCUCUCAUCACCAAGUCUAUAUAUAGAUAUCAAGUUAAGACGAAUAUCUGAAACAUAUCUAACAUAUUUGAGUAUCAAUUUGCUCUCAAUAUUGGUCUCUAACCAAAUAUCUCAAAUACCCAUAAUCUUUGACGUACUAUUAUUUCCUAUUUUAAUAUUACUAAAAUCAUCAAAAGUGUAAGAUACGAAGAAAUCAUUAUAAGAAAUAAUAUGGAAUGAAGCACCGGAGUUAAUUACCCAGUUACUGUUCUAAGCUGCAAGACUGAUACAUCUGUCAUCACAAACAAUAACGAUAUCACCUUUAAUAACAACUGUAUUGUGUCUCUUUCUUAUUUUUCUUCCUUUCAUUCUGUUCUCACUUUCAAAACCUAUACUCUUUUUUCAUAUAACCUGACCUGUUAUAGUAGAAACACUUGAUAUCUCUUCUAGACUUAAAUCUUCCUCUGUAACCAUGUAGAUUUUUACUAUGACUUCUUUCAUGUCUUUCUUAUUUUUCAAUAACAAGUGUACUAGAAGAAGAUUCUCCUUGUUCAUUCCUUUUGACAUCUUUAUUAAGAAAAUUAUCUUUAACAUGUCUAUGGUUAGAGUCUCUUUUGGCAUGAAGUAAAAAUUGUCACCACGUACGUUUCCUAACUUUGUGGAAAAGAGCUGAGAAGUAACAAUCCUUAUAUCUCAUUAUCUAUAUUCAUUUUUAUAGCAACUAACUUAUUUGUAAGACUCUGAAACAAGCUUAUGUGCUCAACAAUAUUGCCACCAUUUUCACAAAGAGAUUUUCUAAUCUUUACCAAACAACAUCAGCUUUGGUUUCAUAAAUAAUAUGCUUAUGUAAAUUUAUAUGCAUCCAUUUUCUAAUAUACGUAAUAGUUUUUGUAUAUUGAUCCUUCCAUUCCUCAUCAUAGAAGGUUUUUCUUUGAAAUUGAUGAUCGUAUACAAAUCGUUACAAUAGAAUAAAUCUUUCAUCAUAUGUCUCCAAGUGAAAUAAUUUGAUAAGUUCAAUUUAAUCAUAUCAUUUGAUUCUUAUAUUUCAAUCACACAAAAAAACUAGCACCAAAUAAUAUGAUGCUCUGAUACCAUUUUGUGGGGAAAAAACUAUUGCAAUGGAAUUUUUUUUUUCCUAUUUGUGGAUCAAAAUGGGUACUUCACCAAAAUAUCGAUUUGUUAUCAAAAGUAAAUAUUAAUCGAAACAACAUAGUAGAACAAUGAAUCAAUCAUAAAGUGGUACAUUAAUUUUUUAUGAAAAAAUUCAUUGUCGAAAAAAUCACAAGACUAUAUUCCACUUCAAACCUCCACUAUUACUAAUAAUAAUAAUAAAUUUAUAAUAAAUUUUAUUCAGAAUAACUAGAGGAUCACAAUAACAUCAAGAAUACAAAUCUCGACUCAACAAUAACAUACAUGAAUUUUAUCAAAAAAAAUAUUUAAGUCUCAUCAAAUGAAUAUAUUAUAAAAGUAUAUCAGAAAAGAUAAAUCACAUAUCGACACCGUUAGUAUUGUAAAAAAUAUUAUAAAUAUUUUUCAUAUAAAAUUUAGAGCAAAACUGAUAAAAUUUACCCGCUUAAUUGUCUAACAACAACUUAAUAACCUUAACUUUUUCUUUCUUUUUCUCCCUAUCUUUUUAGUGGUUAUAGUGUUCGCACGUCCUUCACCGCGCAGGUCUGUCCUUUUUCUUUUUUUUUAAUAACUUUAUUGUCCAAUCCAAACCCACCCAAGCUGGUCCCAACAAUUUGUCUGAUCCCAUCGUAAGGAAUGCAUGACCACCAGACAACCUCCCCGACAGUAUCUGACGCAGACAUCACUAACCUUAUCGCUUUUAAAAAUAAUAAACUCGUGUCACACGUUGAUAUUUUUAUUGGUUUUAAUUAAUUUCCACUUGGCCCAUCCGAUUCACAGAAAUGACUUCACAGUUCUCAUUGCGUACGCAUCUAAUUUUUUAACAAAAUGGCUGCUCUUAUUGCAUGUCCGAGAAUCAGAUACGGAUGAUACGGUACUGCUUUUCCGUUGUCCUCCCUCCCACAUCAUCCCCGGUUUCCACAGACACUGGUGGAAGUAAAAUUGCCAACUCAUCUACCUCCCUAUAUCAAUUAAUUAUCUAAUCUCGUGCUUGCAUCACGUCUUCUGCAACCAUCAACCCGAGACAUCGACAGUUACGAGCAGUUCCAACACGUCUAUAAGAACGUCAGGUUCAUCGGGAUGGCAUAAUCUAUUGUUAAUCAACGGGCUUUACCUCCCUUAUUUUAUAUGAUUUUUUUUCGACACCUAAUUAUUGUGUAAACAGUGAUGAAGAUAUCGAAUUCACCUAUAUAUACAUUCCAUACCCAUACCCAUACACAGACCAACUCUGGACAGCCAUCAUGGCCGCCACCCACAUCGCCCUGUUUGCCUCCGGCCUCGCCGUCUUGCUUCUCCUGGUCCAAGGGUCGCCGCCAGGGCCCGUUGUUCAGUGCCGGUCCGGCAACACUAACUGCACCGUGACCAACGGCUAUGGAGCCUUUCCGGAUCGCAGCACCUGCCGCGUCGCCGCGGUCGCGUACCCUUCGACCGAAGAGGAGCUGCGGUUAGUUGUCUCCGACGCGACCGAGAAGCAGCAGCACAUGAAGGUGGUCACAAUGUACUCCCACAGCAUUCCCAAGCUGUCGUGCCCCGGCGGGCCGAGCGGCCAGGGCCUGGUCAUUAGCACCCAGCGCCUCGGCAGAUCGGUGAGCGUGGACAUGGCCACAUCGCGGAUGACAUUCGAGGCAGGGAUCACACUUAGGGCGCUCCUUGACGCGGCGGCCGCCCGUGGCCUGGCGCUAUCCCACUCGCCGUACUGGCAAGGGAUGACGCUCGGCGGGCUGCUGAGCACCGGCUCGCAUGGGAGCUCGGCGUUCGGGAAGGGCUCGGCGGUGCACGAAUAUGUGGUAGGGAUGAGGCUGGUAGUUCCAAGUCCGGUCCCGGUGAACGGAUACUACGCCAAGAUCGUUAAUCUUGGUGAGGAUGAUCCUGAUCUCUUGGCUGCCAAGGUUUCUCUCGGUGUUCUUGGAGUCAUUUCUCAGGUAUGUGUGUGGUGACCUACGUGUUGUUCUUUACACGAUUUGAGAUCCAUGUGAUAACUCAUCUUAGUUCUUCAUCGUGGUUCUUCCAACCACGUCAAGUACUUUCAGAAGCUGAGUGUACAUGACUUGCCACGUCUCGAUGCUAAUUAGGUGCAACUAUAUCUUUAAUUCUUCAUGAUAUAGUAGAGAUCAUCCUACUGUUAUUAGCAAGGCUGAAUACUUCCUAUCGUCAGCAAAAUGUCGAGACAGAAAAAAAAAACUUGUUUUCUAUCAAAUCACUUUACAAAGGAAGACUUGUUCUUUUCCUCGAAUCUAGAAAGUUACGUAAAUAAUAGGCUGUUGAUGAUCCCAGUGGACUUUACUUUUAAUCUUUCCUUCUUUUCUUGCUUUGCUUGUCUUCCUUGUUUCAAAAUGGGCUGAUGCAAACCUUUGAUCCGUUCUAAUGAUUCCAUGUACCUUCCCUCGUCGUUUAUCGUAACUACACAACAUAAUUGAGUGUUAUGGAAUAUAACCCACAUAGACAAAGAUCAGAGAAAAAGCAAACUUUGCAAAUAACAGCUACAGUGAUGUUGAUGAUGACUCUGUGUAAACGAGAGUGCCCCUUGUUGAUCUUGAUAGGAAGAAGGGAUAGAGUUAUCAAACAGUGGAAUAGUAAGACAAGCUUCAAUCUUCUAUAUUUUUCUCAAAAAAACUCUUUAUAAUUUCAAAAACUCUAUCUAUUUCAUGACCUAUGGGGUUUAUAUAGUCCCGAAAGAUAUAUUACAUUAAUUGUAUUCAAGAUAAAUAAUUUUUUUUCAAAAAAUUCGUUCAAAAAUCAAUAACCAUUUGGACUUAUUCUUCCAUAGACUUUAAUCUAUUUCUUCGUAAUGAAUCUUCUGCAAUGAAUAUUUCUUUUGAGGAAAUGAAUCUCUUUAUAACAUUUGAAAAAGUUUAAUUCCAGAAGAGACAGGCAGGUCCAUGCUGCCUUGCCUUGCAGAGCUUACGACCGGACCCGAUAAUUGCCUUAAAAGCCUCAGUAACAAUUAUUAGGUUGAAGGACGAUAGGGGAUGUCAGUAGUAGUAGUUCUUGUUUCAAUCUUGUUGCCGGAAUAGCUGAAAAGAGUUGACUUGCAAUACAUGUAAGCUUUUGUUCUGCUGCUUCGUUAUAGGUAACCUAAGAAUUACUUGAACCGAUCGCGCAGGUCACCCUCCAACUUGAGCCAAUGUUCAAGCGAUCCAUCACCAACAGGGUCGUAAGCGACGUUGGCUUCGAGCAAACCAUCUCCUCGUACGCUGUCACUACAUACUAUGGAGACAUCAGCUGGUAUCCGUCACAACGCAGAGUGGUGUACCGAGAUGAUAUCAAGGUCCCCAUCACCACCAAGGGAAAGGGUGUAAACGACUACUUAGGGUUCCGAGCGCAGCCCACACUUGUCGGAGCCUCUCUACGUGCUUCAGGUCUUAUAAAUUGAAGCUUUUAUUUUGCUUGUCAAACUUAAUGUAGUGUUCGAGCAGUAUUAUGCACACAUUUACGUCGACAUUUCGUCCGAGAUUUAUACUGAGAAGGCAUCUUAUGUUCUCUACCAUGUGUUUGUGUCAAUGACUGCAGAGGAACGAGUGGAGGCAACGGGAAAUGCGGAAGGCAAAUGUGUGCUGUUCAGAUUGCAAGUUGAUACUUUGAUUGCGACCGGCAUGGGCUUUAAGAACAAUGACGGCGGCUUGAUAGAAUUCACUGGCUAUCCGGUCAUUGGAAACCAAAGCGACAUGCAAUCCGCCGGUAGGUUCUCAAAUUAUCCGAGGAAUGUCUGCAUGUAUGAAUGAUAGCUCUUGAUGAUAAUGCUUCAUCACAAUAAUGACACAUGUAACGCCCGGAUUUAUUUACUCUGAGUCAUCUUCUUUCCAGGUUCUUGCCUAAGGAGUCCAGAAGACAACCUUCUUACAGCCUGUGGCUGGGACCCUCGUUUUGCGGGGUUCUUCUACCACCAAACCACGAUAAGCAUCCCCUUCACCACCAUCUCUGACUUCAUCGCCGACGUCAAGAAGCUCCGCGACGCCCAUCCCGACGCACUCUGCAGCACCGAGCUGUACUUGGGCUUCUUGAUCCGCUUCGUCCGCAACUCCACAGCUUAUCUUGGCAAAACCGACGACGUGGUGGCCAUUGACAUCACAUACUAUCGUUCCAAGGAUCCAAAACAGCCGCGACUAUAUGAGGAUGUGUUCGAGGAGAUCGAACAGAUGGCCUUGUUCAAGUACAACGGGCUGCCGCACUGGGGGAAGAACAGAAAUGUCGGCUUCCUCAAUGUCAAGAACAAGUUGGGGGCUAAGUUGGCCAAGUUUGUGAGUGUGAUGCAGAAGUAUGACAGCAAUGGAUUGUUCUCUUCAGACUGGACCGAUGCGGUGCUGGGACUGCGAGGGAAGGAAGUUGUGGUGCAGGGAGAUGGUUGUGCAAUGGAGGGGCUGUGCAUUUGCUCCACCGAUGACCACUGCGCUCCUAAACUAGGCUAUUAUUGUCGACCUGGGGAAGUCUAUGAGCAGGCUCGAGUUUGCCGGAAGAUAAAAUCCGUGGAAGCUGAUGGUUUGGCAUGGAGCGCAUGAUACCAUUCACAUUCAUUUGCUGUGAGGUUUAUUUCUGUGUCACUUCCUCUUCGAAUAAAGGAUGAAAUGUCAGUCAAUAAUUACUACAUAGUUUAUUAUUGUGAUAUUAAAGCAAGCGUCGAUAAAUGCAAUAUUGUAUGGGACGCAGAUUACAUUCCUCCCGAUUUAUCUGUACAACUCCAAGAUGACUUAUACAAGUCAUUCUAUAGAACUAUAAUGUCUUAAUAAAUUUUUUUUGGGAAAAAAAUUAGGACAUAAUUUCUCAUUAUUUUUCAUAGCAAGAUCCCAUUUUGAAGGAAACGAACGCUCUCCAGUAUCCUUUGCAUGAAAGGAACGAGGAAGCAAGAAAUAAUUGUGCCAUUCUUAACGCCAUCGUGUGGAGAGAGAUAGUAUGUUAACGCGAUAUUCUUCGCUAUCAUUUCUUAAAAUAAUAAUGAUGAUUAAUGAUAAUAACCUGCGACUCACGUAAAUGUUCUGAUUAAUUUUACAUUAAUUACGCUUGACCCACGUUUCGUGACACAAAUGAAAUGGUAGUUCACACCGAUUACAUUUCAAAUUUUUGACUCAAAGCUCGUCCUAUGGAUCGCGAGAAUAAACCAUAUGGUAAGAAGCUACAUAAAUAUGGAAAUCACAAAGGAGGGUGAUUACUGUAAUUAACCCUUCCUCGAUGCCCCCAACUCCAAGAAACUACUGCUCUCUCUAGGUAACUCUACGGCGCAGCAUCCAAUCUUAUGUUUUUUCCUUUCUCAUCCUCGCAGUAUAAUUUAGAGAUAGCAAGUGGUCGCACCAUGAUCGAGGGAAACAGCAGCGAGAGCAAGCUGAGCCAGUACAUCAGGCCCCCGACCGGGAGCUGCGGCAUGCCCCGGACUUGUACGAUAGCAGCAUGGCCGGGAUCGCCGGCAAGGCGCAGUGUGGCACCGUCAUCGCGCUGUCUUCGCGCCUAUGGCUUUGGGCUGUGCUCGCGGACGAGCAGCAGCGAGGAAGAGAUCAACGACCUCAUCGGCGCCGUUUGCAAGAGCAAGAUGCGGGCCAUCCCGGUGGAGGAUGGGACGCCGGUGCCGAGGAGCCACAGUGUGGCGACGUUGAGGAUAGACGAAGACAAGCCGUGUGACUUCGAGGACGACCUCACGGUGGCCCUGGGGCCAAGGAGCUGUGGCUACGAUGUUGCCACCGAGAGGAAGGUGGGCUUCUAAUAAGCUUCAAGUUAGCUUGUGCGGUGAUCUAACACGAACAGUAAACAUCCGAGCUUAUAUAUUGUACUGCUUUCGAGGGAGGAAAUAAGCAAUUCGUUGAGCCGUUGUCAUUCUUUGGGAACCAAAACUUAUUAGGAGAUAAAUCGAAUAGUAGAUAUUCGUCGCUUCUUUUAUGAAGCCUUGUUGUAUUUUACCUACUCACCACGUCUUGUGAUAAUCUCAUGUAAUAUCUACACAAAAUAACUAAGUUUUAGAUCGGGCAUGACAUCCUCAAGGAAUGAUUUUUUAAUAGACUACAGUGUUUAUUUAUGUGAGGAUUUGGCAUGCUUUUUUCAUCUUAAAAAAGGAAAUGUUAAAUUUCUAAGAAAAACCUCCUAACUUUAAGAAUUUAUCAAAUAACCCUCCAAUCUUGAGAAAUUUUUAUAGAGUAUUUCUUUUUCUUAAAUGAUCAUUCUACCCAUAUUGAUUGUCGCCUUUACCCUUGCAUUGUUAUUGCUGUGCUUGCCGGUGGCCUUCGCACAAGGAAGGAAGGGGUGCAAGAGUUGUCAUCUCCUUCCUGCACCACCUCCCCUCCCUUCUGCAUGCUGGACUUAUUGCUUACAGGCCUCACGCGAGGAAGGAGAAGGUACGAGGGCUAUUAUCACCUUUGCAGACCUCACUAACCCUACACUAACGCCUUGCUCACAACCCUCGCAUGAGAAAGGAGAGGACGUGAGGGCUGGGAUAGUAAUUCAAAUCCAAUCAAGGUCUAUUCCAAAUCAGUCACUAUUUGUAAUGCACUAAAUUUGUAAAACUAGGUUGAGGGGCAUUCUUGACAAAUAUUCCUUCAACGGCGAAUUGAAUUUUUAGGUUUGGACUAGUCGAUGAAGUGAAGUCAUAUCUUAGGAGUACAUGGGAGCCCUUUUUAUGAGUGAUACUAAGGAUGAUUAUUCCUAGAAUCACCGAUCGCAUAGGCCAGCCAUGUCAACCACGGGUUCAGAUGAUUGAUUAUCUGGUCAUGUAUCACCCCUUUAUGAGUAUAUGUCUUACGACCUGAUCAUCAUUUGUCUAUCGCGUGUGAUCCUCAUGCUCUUUGGCAAUCGAUCAGUUGGCUCAUUGGUCAUCGGCAAUGUUGUAUUUGACAUGUCACUUGUCACCUAUCACUUGCCCCCAACUUCUAGGUUGAUAGAUUGUAGGGCUAUCGAGUUAAGAAGUGCUCUAGCUUAUGCUUUUAACACUGAUAGUGGAUUUGUUCGUCAUCUUUUUGACAUAUGUCAUAGAAAUGCAUGUUCUGUCCGUUAAAGCUAUUCUAUCCAUUUAGUAUGUUUAACGCAUUCGGUUCAUUUAACCCGUUCUAUUCAUUAGUUGCUCUCCCUCUAACAUACAUUCCUUAAUAUAUCUUGGUUGCUCUCCCUCUAACAUAUCAGUAUAAAUUUUAGUUGUUUGAGUUGAGAUGAUAACUUAGAUCUAUCUGACGUUCAUUCCAAGUUAGUCUAACUCUAGAAAACCUACAAAUGCCCUAUCGUCGAUCAAGUCAGACUUGUCAGCCAAUACUAAAGUCAAGUCGGGUCCUGGAAGUGUACAUAAGAGUCUCUUUUAUUAGUAACUCUAAGAAUGGUUAUGUCUGGAAUCAUUGAUGGUAAGAGGGGAAUAUGUGCCACAUUCAAGCUGAGACUUGGCAUUCGUACAAGUAAAUGGUUGAUGUGAUCCGGGAGAGAGCAAGGCAUGUAAAUGAUUCAUAACAAGGGAACGUCUCUUACAAGUUCUCCAUUGACAGGUUCUUCCGACUUAGAAUUGGUCUAAUGUUUUCCGGCUUCUCCGUACCUCAGGAAAUGUUGGGUCUAGCCCAUACGUCAGCUUGGACUAGAUAAUUAAAUUUUUGAGCUCAAAUCAAUAAUUAAAAAAAAAAACUGCCUAUAGCGUUUUGACAAGCGAACGAUGGCGACGCACAGUCAAAUUAACAUAGAAAGAGAAAAGAGAAAAAAAAUAAGAUUUUGAGUUUUUCUUAGUUAACGAUCAGAGUCAAACUUGGAUCCAAAUUAUACAUGAAAAAUCUUUACAGUAGCCAGCUCUACAAUCCGCUGAUUUGUAGUUUACCCUUUAUGAGGUAUUUUCCAACUAUACUCAUUUUGUGAGACAAAAUUCUUUUUUUGAUGAGAUUCAUUCAUGUGAUGAUGAUAUACUAUUCUUGAGUCAAGAUAUGUGAUUUUGAUGUUAUUAUGGUUCUCUUGUUAUUUUAAAGAAGACUUAUUGUAAACCUAUAAUUAUUAUUAGUGAUAGUGGAAGCUUGAAGUGGACUACGAUCCCUAUUAUUAUUAUUAGUGAUAGUGGAAGCUUGAGGAGGACUACGGUACGUGGUUUUUUCCGCAUUAGGUUUUUCACGUUAAUAUUUGGUCUUACUUUGUGAUUGAUUCAUUGUUUUGUUAUUUAUGUUGUUCUGGUUUAUAUGUACUUUUGAUAUCAAGCUGGUUUUUGAUGAGAAACUUAUUUUAAUAGACAAAAAGAAAAAAAAUUAUUUUAUUUUAAUAGGUUUUUCCCAACAAGAAAUUGAGUGAAGAACUCUAUUUAACCGACUUCAAGUCGGCACGACCCUCUUCGCAUCCAAUGUUAGUGUAGCGCUAUGACCUAGGAAGAAGAAGAGGGAACAAGCUGAUGCGGUACAUCAAGGCCUCUCAUCGAGCACUGCUACGUGCCCGGGACUUGUACGUGAACAGCAUGGCUGGAUGCGCCAGAAGGGCCCAGGGCGAGCCGACGAUCAUCGCGAUGCCGCACGCCCAGAGCCACAUAUAUACACACACAAACGCGCACACACAAUAAAAGUAAUAUAAUUAUUGAUGCCCAUGCAAAAAGAUUUUAUAUCAUUUUUAUUUAAUUCGCUCACGUGGAUCAAUCGAGUUGUCCAUGUGUUAUUAUCCAUUAACUUGCUUUUAUCUAUUAUAUAAUAACGAUUGGAUCAUGAGCUGGCUUUCUCAUCUGCGUGCCAAUCCAAACGCUUCUAUACUGUGCCAUCGACGACUUCAAUAUCUUUGAUUUGCUCACAUCUCAAAGCCAAAAAAAAGGAAAAAUGAUGAGUACCUACAGUAUAUGACAAUUAGUUAGACCGAUUCUUCUAAAUUUUCUGAUCCCAUCGUGAGGCGUGCAUGACCAGCGUACUUUCCCCACUGUAUUUUACUCGACCAUCACUAACCUCACCGCUAUUAUAGAAAUAGUAUGUCAACACGAUCUUGGCUGUCAUCANNNNNNNNNNNNNNNNNNNNUUUUCUUACAAUAAUAAUAAUGAUAAGAACCUUGCGUCCCAAGUUGGCUCACGUGAUUGAAAUAAAUGACUCGAAUUGGGAACAAUACCCAUAUGCAGAUUCAUUGGGAUGGCAGAAUCUCUUGUUAAGUCAACGGGCUUUACCUCCCUUAUUUUAUAUGAAUUUUUUUCUGACACCUAAUAAUUUUGUAAACAGUGAUCAAGAUAUCGAAUUCACAUUCUCCUAUAUACACAUUACAUACCCAUAUGCAGACCAACUCUGGACAGUCAUCAUGGCCGCCACCUACUUUGCCCUAUUCGCCUCCGGCCUCGCCGUCUUGCUUCUACUAGUCCAAGGAUCGCCGCCAGGGCCCGUUGUCCAGUGCCGGUCCGGCAACACUAACUGCACCGUGACCAACGGCUAUGGAGCCUUUCCUGAUCGCAGCACCUGCUGCGUCGCCGCGGUCGCGUACCCUUCCACCGAACUGGAGCUCCUGUUAGCUGUCUCCGACGCCACCGAGAAGCAGCAGCACAUGAAGGCUGUCACGAUGUACUCCCACAGCAUCCCCAAGCUGUCGUGCCCCGGAGGGCCGAGCGGCCAGGGCCUGGUCAUUAGCACCCAGCGCCUCAACCGAUCGGUGAGCGUGGACAUGGCCACCUCGCGGAUGACGUUCGAAGCAGGGAUCACACUUAGGGAGCUCCUUGACGCGGCGGCCGCCCGUGGCCUGGCGCUACCCCACUCGCCGUACUGGCAAGGGAUGACGCUCGGCGGCCUGCUGAGCACCGGCUCCCAUGGGAGCUCGGUGUUCGGGAAGGGCUCGGCGGUGCACGAAUAUGUGGUAGGGAUGAGGCUGGUGGUUCCAAGUCCGGCCCCGGUGAACGGAUACUACGCCAAGAUCGUUAAUCUUGGUGAGGAUGAUCCUGAUCUCUUGGCUGCCAAGGUUUCUCUCGGUGUUCUUGGAGUCAUUUCUCAGGUAUGUGUGUGGUGACCUACGUGUUAUUCUUUGUUCUUUACACGGAUUGAGAUCCAUGUGAUAACUCAUCUUAGUUCUUCAUGGUGGUUCUUCCAACCACGUCAAGUACUUUCAUAAGCUGAGUGUACAAGAUUUGCCACGUUUCGAUGCUAAUUAGGUGCAACUAUAUCUUUAAUUCUUCAUGAUAUAAUAGAGAUCAUCCUACUGUUAUUAGCAACGCUGAAUACAUCCUAUCGUCAGUAAAAUGUCGAGACAGAAAAAAAAAACUUGAUUUCUAUCAAAUCACUUUACAAAGGAAGACUUGUUCUUUUCCUUGAAUCUAGAAAGUUACGUAAAUAAUAGGCUUUUGAUGAUCGCAGUGGACUUUACUUUUAAUCUUUCCUUCUUUUCUUGCUUUGCUUGUCUUCCUUGUUUCAAAAUGGGCUGAUGCAAACCUUUGAACCGUUCUAAUGAUUCCAUGUACCUUCCCUCGUCGUUUAUCGUAACUACACAACAUACUUGAGUGUUAUGGAACAUAUGAGCACAUGCAAACCCACAGAGACAAAGAUCAGAGAAAAAGCAACCAUUGCAAUAACAGCUACAGUGACGUUGAUGAUGACUCGGUGUAAAUGAGAGUGCCCCUUCCUUCACAUAUGGAGCCUCGAGCAGGGCAAGAGGCAGGCAGGUCCAUGCUGCCUUGCCUUGCAGAGCUUACGACCGGGCCCACUAAUUGCCUUAAAAGCCUCAGUAACAAUUAUUAGGUUGAAGGACGAUAGGGGAUGUCAGUAGUUGUAGUUCUUGUUUCAAUCUUUUUGCCUGAAUAGCUGAAAAGAGUUGACUAGCGAUACAUGUAAGCUUUUGUUCUUCUGCUUCAUUAUAAGUAACCUAAGAAUUACUUGAACCGAUCGAGCAGGUCACCCUCCAACUUGAGCCAAUGUUCAAGCGAUCCAUCACCAACAGGGUCGUAAGCGACGUUGGCUUCGAGCAAACCAUCUCCUCGUACGCUGUCACUACAUACUAUGGAGACAUCAGCUGGUAUCCGUCACAACGCAGAGUGGUGUACCGAGAUGAUAUCAAGGUCCCCAUCACCACCGAAGGAAAGGGUGUAAACGACUACUUAGGGUUCCGAGCGCAGCCCACCCACGUCGGAGCCUCUCUACGUGCUUCAGGUCUUAUAAAUUGCAGCUUUUAUUUUGCUUGUCAAACUUAAUGUAGUGUUCGAGCAGUAUUAUGCACACAUUUACAUCGACAUUUCGUCCGAGAUUUGUACUAAGAAGGCUUCUUUUGUCCUCUACCAUGUGUUUGUGUCUGUGAAUGCAGAGGAACGAGUGGAGGCAACGGGAAAUGCGGAAGGCAAAUGUGUGCUGUUCAGAUUGCAAGUUGAUACUUUGAUUGCGACCGGCAUGGGCCUUAAGAACAAUGACGGCGGCUUGUUAGAAUUCACCGGCUAUCCGGUCGUUGGAAACCAAAGCGACAUGCAAUCCUCCGGUAGGUCCUCCAAUUAUCCGAAGAAUGUAUAUGAUGACACAUGUUACACCUGUAUUAUAUAUUAUAUGGUCUGAGCCAAAUUCACUCCUGUAUUCUGUAUUAGUCUGAACCAUCUUCUCUCCAGGUUCGUGCCUAAGAAGUGCAGAAGACAACCUUCUCACGGCCUGUGGAUGGGACCCUCGCUUUGCUGGGUCCUUCUACCACGAAACCGCGAUAAGUAUCCCCUUCACCACCGUUGCAGACUUCAUCGCCGACGUCAAGAAGCUCCGCGACGCCCACCCCAACUCGCUCUGCGGCACCGAGCUGUCCUUGGGCUUCUUCAUUCGCUUCCUCCGCAACUCCACGGCCUAUCUUGGCAAAACGGACGACGUGGUGGAGAUCGACAUCACAUACUACCGUUCCAGGGAUCCAAAACGGCCGCGACUCUAUGAGGAUGUGCUCGAGGAGAUCGAACAGAUGGCCUUGUUCAAGUACAAUGGGCUGCCGCACUGGGGGAAGAACAGAAAUGUCGGCUUCCUCAAUGUCAAGAACAAGCUGGGGGCUAAGUUGGCCAAGUUUGUGAGUGUGAUGCAGAAGUAUGACAGCAAUGGAUUGUUCUCUUCAGACUGGACCGAUGCGGUGCUGGGACUGCGAGGGAAGGAAGUUGUGGUGCAGGGAGAUGGAUGUGCACUGGAGGGGCUGUGCAUUUGCUCCACUGACGACCACUGCGCUCCUAAACUAGGCUAUUUUUGUCGACCUGGAGAAGUCUAUGAACAGGCUCGAGUUUGCCGGAAGAUAAAAUCCGUGGAAGCUGAUGGUUUGGCAUGGAGCGCAUGAUACCAUUCACAUUCAUUUGCUGUGCGGUUUAUUUCUGUGUCACUUCCUCUUCGAAUAAAGGUUGUAAUGUCAGUCAAUAAUUACUACAUAGUUUAAUGAUGAUUAAUGAUAAUAACCUGCGACACACGUAAAUGUUCUGAUUAAUUUUACAUAAAUUACACUUGACCCACGUUUCGUGACACAAAUGACAUGGUAGUUCACACCGAAACUACUGCUCUCUAUAAAUUACUCAACGGCGCAGCAUCCAAUCUUCUGUUUGUUCCUUUCUCAUCCUCGCAGUAUAAUUUGGAGAUAGGAAGUGGUCGCACCAUGAGCGAGGGAAACAGCAGCGAGAGCAAGCUGACCCCGUACAUCAGGCCCCCGACCGGGCCGCUGUGGCAUGCCCGGGACUUGUACGAGAGCAGCAAGGCGCAGAGUGGCACCGUCAUCGCGCUGUCUCGCGCCUAUGGCUUUGGGCAGUGCUCGCGGACGAGCAGCAGCGAGGAAGAGAUCAACGACCUCAUCGGCGCCGCUUGCAAGAGCAUGAUGCGGGCCAUCCUGGUGAAGGAGGAUGGGCUGGUGCCAAGGAGCCACCGAGUGGCGACGUUGAGGAUAGACGAUGACAAGCCGUGUGACUUCGAGGACGACCAAGAGGAACGAUGCCAAGGAGCUGUAGCUACGAUGUUGCCACCAAGAGGAACGUGGGCUUCUAAUAAGCUUCAAGUUAGAUUGUGCGGUGAUCAACACGAACAGUAAACAUCCGAGCUUAUAUAUUGUACUGCUUUCGAGGGAGGAAAUAAGCAUUUCGUUGAGCCGUUGUCAUUCUUUUGGAACCAAAACUUAUUAGGAGAGAAAUCGAAUAGUGAAUACAGAAGAAGAUAUUCUUCACUUCUUUUGUGAAGCUUUGUUGUAUUUUACCUACUCACCAUGUAUUUUACACAAAAUAACUAGUUUUAGAUCGGGCAUGACAUCCUGAAGGAAUGAUUGUUUAAUAGACUACAAUGUUUAUUUAUGCGAGGAUUUGGCAUGCUUUUCUCAUCUUAAAAAAAGGAAAUGUUAAAUUUCUAAAAAAAGACCUCCUAACUUUAAAUUAUCAAAUAACGCUCUGAGAAAUUUUUUUAGAGUAUUUUUUUCUUAAACAAUCAUUCUAUCCAUUGUCAACUCUAUCCAUGCAUUGUUAUUAUUGUAUUUACAUGUGGCCCUCGCAUAAGGAAGGAAGGGGUGCAAGAGUUGUCACCUCCUUCCUGCACCACCUCUCCUCCUCUUGUCAUGCUGGAUUUGUUACUUAUAGGCCUCACUCGAGGAAAGAGAGGGUACGAGAGCCAUUGCCACUUAUGCGGACCCCACCAACUCUAUCCUAGCGCCUCGAUCACAACUUUCAUAUGAGAAAGGAGGGGACGUGAGGGCCGUCAUCGUUUCUGUGGACCUUACUAGCCCUAGGACCUUGCUAGACUCUAUUGGACUUGUUGCCCGUAGCCCUUACACAAGGAAAGAAGGGUUGUGAGGGUCGACGCCACCACCAUCUUCACAGACCACUACGACCCUGCUUAUAUGCACUUCACUCGUAACCCUUGUGCAAGGAAGAAGGUGGCACAUGUGCUAUCGUUGCCUUUGUGGAACCUAUUAGUCUCCGUCAAACCUGUUGUCACUCUGCACCACCCCCCCUUUCCUCGCACGAGGGCCAUAGUGUGCAAGGGUUGUGAGUGACAGAUUAUAUGAAGUAGAGGAGAGGAUAGGUAGUGCAUGGAGUAAGGGCACAAGUGAUUAUAGAGGGAGGAGGAGAUAACUAUAGGUCUAAUAGAAAUAGAGAUAAAAUAAUAUUUUUAUAUAAUCAAGAUACUCUAUGAAUUUCUUAAAGUUAAAAGGCUCUGUAAAAAAUUCAUAAUGUUAAAUCUAAAAAAAAAAUAAGGAUUUGACGUGCGUCCGACAAGCCUCCUUCCUGGAGAGGAUCAACACACAGCUAGUUAGUAGGGGAUUCAGUAACUUUCCUUUUUUUUUCCCUUUAAAAAUAUGAAGUUUCAUAACUUAUCAAAAAGAGGUCCAAAUUGUACAUUUAUACCAAUAAAUUUGAAUACUACAAGUUUUUCUCUUGCAACUAAUACACACACAUAUACUACAGUUUUGCCCCAUACAAAUCGAAUAACAAUGAGUAUAGUUUUGACCCUUCCAUGUAUAGAAAUUAAAUAAAAAUUAGUUUGAUUCAAUUCAAAGAGUUAAGUUUCUAUAUUGUGGACCAAAUUAAGUAUAUAUAAUCAGACUCUUUUAAUUCUUAAUUAUACUAGAUUAUCCUCUUAGUUUAUUUUAUUUCAAUUUAGACAUGAAUAUUUUCAUUACAAUGUGAAUAAUAAAAAUAUCUUAAAAGUGAAGUCAUAUUUGGUUCUUUAUUAGACCUUACUUUUCAACUUUUGUAACGAUCCAACCAAUGACCUCAUUAUUGGCCAUGAAUGAAAUCUUGAAUUCUAAUUUUUAAGUAAAAUGUAACUUAUGAUAUUUUAGAUUAAUACAAGUUAACAAUUAUUAACUAUCAUUAGUUAUGAUUGAUUAAAAAUUGAAAUGUAGUAAUAGAAUAUGAUAUUACAAAAUGUUCACAUCAUAUUUCUUUCUUAAAAAAUAAUCUUGUUUAUACCAAACUCGAAUUCAAAAUCUCAUCUGAUAUAUUUUGAAGAUAUCAUCUAAUUUAGUUGGUGUUAGUGUAGAUUUUGAUUAUAUGAGCUAGGAUAAUUCUUCAAAUUGAAUCAAAGUCUAUUCCAAACCAAUCUCACUUCACAUCACUAUUAAUAAAGCACCAAACUUGUAAAACUAGGUCAAGAGGUAUUCUUGACAAAUAUUCCUUCAAUAAUCAAUUGAAUUCUUAGGUUUGGACUGGCUGAUGAAUAUUGAAGUGAAAUCAUAUCUUAAGAGUACAUGAGAGUCCUUUUUAUGGGUGAUACUAAGGAUGAUUAUUCCUAGAAUCACCGAUCACUUAGGCUAGUCGAUCACGAGUUCAAAUUAUCUAUCAUUUGGCCACAUAUCACCCCUUUAUGAGUAUAUAUCUUACUACCUGACCAUCAUCUGUCAAACGCGUGUGAUCCCCAUGCUCUUUGAUAAUCGACCCAUUGGCUUCUUGGCCACGUGUCGCAUUGUGGCAAUGUUGUAUUUGACAUGUCACUUGUCACCUAUCACUAGCCCCCCAUUUCUAAGUUGAUAGAUUAUAGGGCUAUAGAGCUAAGAAGUGCUCUGGCCUAUGAUUUUUACACUGAUAGCGAGUUUGUUCAUCAUCGUUUUGACAUAUGUCAUUGGAAUGCAUGUUGUGUCCAUUAAAGCUAUUCUAUCCAUUCAGUGUGUUUGACGCAUUCAGUCCAUUUGACCCAUUCCGUUGGUUAGGGUCGUUCAGCUCGUUCAAUCAAUUUGACAUGUUAGGCUUUUUAGGAUUUAACCUAGAUGGUACCACGAAGUUUUCUUAAGAUAUCUUAGUUGCCCUCUCUCUAACGCUAAUAUAUUAGUAUAAAUUUUAAUUGUCUGAAUUGAGAUGAUAACUUAGAUCCAACUGAGAUUCAUUGCAAGUUAGUCUUACUCUAGGAAACCUACAAAUGCCCCAUCGUAGAUCAAGUCAGACUUGUUGGCCAAUAAUAAAGUCAAGUUGGAUCCUCGAAGUGUACCUAGAGUCCCUUUUAUUAGUAACUCUGAGAAUGAUUAUGUCCGGAAUCAUUGAUGGUAAGAGAGGAAUAUGUGCCACAUUCAGACUGAGACUUGGCAUGAUAUUCAUCGAACCUUGUGUUCACAUAGGUUGGUUGUGCUAAUCAUGGGUUUGGACGAUCGACUAUUCAUCCACGUAUUAUCUCAUGCUGAGUGUGCAUCUCAUGAUUCCAUCAUCACCUAUCUAUCACAUAUGAUCCUCAUGCUCUUUGGUUGUCAACCUUGUGGCCAUGUGUCACUACACGGUGAUGUUAUAUUCGAUAUAUUACUCUUUAUGCUGAAAAAAAAUUUGAUAGUUGAUCACUAGACUCAAAAUUCUACAUUCGUUAGUGGUGCGUUGGCCAUGUCUCGCCGCAUGAUAGUGUUAUAUUCAAUGUCACACCCUUCACCUGUCAGAUAAAGACUUUAAUAGUUCCUCCCAAAAUUUUAGACUUAAAUUCCACAUUAAUCACUUAUUCUCAAAAAAAAAAUCUGGUUAAGAUCGCAACCACUGCUUCGGUUACAAUUAUCCCUUCUAUUUUUAUAACAGAACAAAUAGGGUAAACAGUGUGCGAGUCGAUCAGUCGGUGGACUGCCUUCAUUCCACCGACUUACACCAUCAUGAGAUCCUCUUAAUUUUCAAAUUAUAAUAAUUAUAAUUUAAAAAAUAUGAAUAACAUUAAAUAAAAAUAAACAAAAAAAUCAGCCAUAACGCGUAAAGGUCAAAGUCAAAGUACCCAUGACCCAUGGACUGGGACACGUGGAGGCAAGAAAGCAUCACAACAGACUCGAGAACGAGCCCACUCGAUUGGACCAUUCAGGGCGGGAUUAAUUGAAAGAAACAACGAGCGAGACAGUCAGCAGGUCCACUAAACUGGAAGCAUUCUUCAUGCUUUGAAAUCAAAACAUGAGUCUAACAUGAUCAACCAAAUUGGACUCAACACUUGUGAUCGAGAAGAAUAGGGUGCCGCCAUGUUCGUACAAGUAAAUGGUUGAUGUGAUCCGGGAGAGAGCAAGGCAUAUAAAUGCUUCAUAACAAGGGAACGUCUCUUACAAGUUCUCCAUUGACAGGUUCUCUUCCUGCUUAGAAUUGGUCCAAUGUUUUCCGGCUUCCACAUACCUCAGGAAAUUGAGUAAAGAACUCUAUUUAAGCGACUUCAAGUCGGCACGACUCUCUUCGCAUCCAAUGUUAAUGUAGCGCUAUGAGCAAGGGAAGCAGAAGAGGGAACAAGCUGAUGCGGUACAUCAAGGCCCCUUAUCGAGCACUGCUUCGUGCCCGGGACUUGUACGUGAACAGCAUGGCCGGAUGCGCCGGCAGGGCCCAGCGCGGGCCGACGAUCAUCGCGAUGCCACGCGCCCAGAGCCGCAGCUUCCACCGCCCGCAAAUGAGCAGCGGCGAGGACGACAUCAACGAGCUCAUCCGCGCUGCGUCGAGGAGCAGGCUGCGGUCCGUCGAGGGAGCGGCGGUUCCGAGGAGUCACAGCGUGGCGGGGAUGACGAUUGACGAGGACAAGCCAUGCAACUUUGAGGGCGACGUCAAGGUGGCCUUGGGCCCGAGGAGCCGGAGCUGCGACGUCGUCUCCAAGAGGAGGGCGGGGUUUACAACAAACGCCGUAAGCAGCAUCCGAAGCUUCUAAUACCAAGAGUGGAAGCACCAAAUGCAGCAAUUCCAUGUCGUUGUGGUUUCUAUUACUCGUGUUCGUGAACUCGAUUCGAUACUUUCUCUCCUCUUCUUCUCCUGUCAUGUUUCUGUUCACUCGUGAAUGUUUGGGCUGCCUGCUUACCUCAUUCCAUCUACACGAACGGAAUGUUCAUAUGGCAUCUCGGUAUCAUUUCCCUCAAAAUUUGAGCCUACAUUUGAAGCAUUUUCAUUAUAUAUAUAUAUAUAUAUAUAUAUAUAUAUAUAUAUAUAUAUAUAUAUAUAUAUAUANNNNNNNNNNNNNNNNNNNNNNNNNNNNNNNNNNNNNNNNNNNNNNNNNNNNNNNNNNNNNNNNNNNNNNNNNNNNNNNNNNNNNNNNNNNNNNNNNNNNNNNNNNNNNNNNNNNNNNNNNNNNNNNNNNNNNNNNNNNNNNNNNNNNNNNNNNNNNNNNNNNNNNNNNNNNNNNNNNNNNNNNNNNNNNNNNNNNNNNNNNNNNNNNNNNNNNNNNNNNNNNNNNNNNNNNNNNNNNNNNNNNNNNNNNNNNNNNNNNNNNNNNNNNNNNNNNNNNNNNNNNNNNNNNNNNNNNNNNNNNNNNNNNNNNNNNNNNNNNNNNNNNNNNNNNNNNNNNNNNNNNNNNNNNNNNNNNNNNNNNNNNNNNNNNNNNNNNNNNNNNNNNNNNNNNNNNNNNNNNNNNNNNNNNNNNNNNNNNNNNNNNNNNNNNNNNNNNNNNNNNNNNNNNNNNNNNNNNNNNNNNNNNNNNNNNNNNNNNNNNNNNNNNNNNNNNNNNNNNNNNNNNNNNNNNNNNNNNNNNNNNNNNNNNNNNNNNNNNNNNNNNNNNNNNNNNNNNNNNNNNNNNNNNNNNNNNNNNNNNNUUUCCUUACAAUAAUAAUAAUGAUAAGAACCUUGCGUCCCAAGUAGGCUCACGUGAUUGACAUAAAUGACUCAAAUUGGGAACGGAUGAAAACUCCUCCUAUUGCAUGUUCAUGAAUCAGAUAUGGAUGAUAUGGCACCACUUUUCCAUUGCCGUCCCACGCACAUCAUCCACGGUUUCCACAGAGACUGGUAGAAGUAAAAUUGCCAACUCAUCUACCUCCCUCUAUCAAUAUAUAUUAUCUAAUCACGUUCUUGCAUCACGUGUUCUGCGACCAUCAACCGGAGACUUUGACAAUUAUGAACCAUUCCAACACGUCUAAAUACACGUAAGAUUCAUCGGGAUGGCAUAAUCUCUUGUUAAGUCAACGGGCUUUACCUCCCUUCUUUUAUAUGAAUUUUUUUCUGACUACUAAUUAUUAUGUAAAUAGUGAUCAAGAUAUCGAAUGCACCUAUAUAUACAUUACAUACCCAUACCCAGACCAACUCUGAACAGCCAUCAUGGCCGCCACCCACAUUGCCCUGUUCGCAUCCGGCCUCGCCGUCUUGCUUCUCCUAGUCCAAGGAUCGCCGCCAGGGCCCGUUGUCCGGUGCCGGUCCGGCAACACUAACUGCACCGUGACCAACGGCUAUGGAGCCUUUCCUGAUCGCAGCACCUGCCGCGUCGCCGCGGUCGCGUACCCUUCGACCGAACAGGAGCUCCUGUUAGCUGUCUCCGACGCCACCGAGAAGCAGCAGCACAUGAAGGCUGUCACGAUGUACUCCCACAGCAUCCCCAAGCUGUCGUGCCCCGGCGGGCCGAGCGGCCAGGGCCUGGUCAUUAGCACCCAGCUCCUCAACAGAUCGGUGAGCGUGGACAUGGCCACCUCGCGGAUGACGUUCGAGGCAGGGAUCACACUUAGGGCGCUCCUUGACGCGGCGGCCGCCCGUGGCCUGGCGCUACCCCACUCGCCGUACUGGCAAGGGAUCACGCUCGGCGGGCUGCUGAGCACCGGUUCGCAUGGGAGCUCGGUGUUCGGGAAGGGCUCGGCGGUGCACGAAUAUGUGGUAGGGAUGAGGCUGGUGGUUCCAAGUCCGGUACCGGUGAACGGGUACUACGCCAAGAUCGUUAAUCUUGGUGAGGAUAAUCCUGAUCUCUUGGCUGCCAAGGUUUCUCUCGGUGUUCUUGGAGUCAUUUCUCAGGUAUGUGUGUGGUGACCUACGUGUUGUUCUUUGUUCUUUACACGGUUUGAGAUCCAUGUGAUAACUCAUCUUAGUUCUUCAUGGUGGUUCUUCCAACCACGUCAAGUGCUUUCAUAAGCUGAGUACAUGACUCGCCACGUCUCGAUGCUAAUUAGGUGCAACUAUAUCUUUAAUUCUUCAUGAUAUAAUAGAGAUCAUCCUACUGUUAUUAGCAACGCUGAAUACAUCCUAUCGUCAGCAAAAUGUCGAGACAGAAAAAAAGAACUUGUUUUCUAUCAAAUCACUUUACAAAGGAAGACUUGUUCUUUUCCUCGAAUCUAGAAAGUUACGUAAAUAAUAGGCUGUUGAUGAUCCCAGUGGACUUUACUUUUAAUCUUUCCUUCUUUUCUUGCUUUGCUUGUCUUCCUUGUUUCAAAAAGGGCUGAUGCAAACCGUUGAACCGUUCUAAUGAUUCCAUGUACCUUCCCUCGUCGUUUAUCGUAACUACACAACAUAAUUGAGUGUUAUGGAACAUAUGAGCACAUGCAAACCCACAUAGACAAAGAUCAGAGAAAAAGCAAACUUUGCAAUAACAGCUACAGUGACGUUGAUGAUGACUCGGGGUAAAUGAGAGUGCCCCUUCCUUCACAUAUGGAGCCUCGCGCAAGGCAAGAGGCAGGCAGGUCCAUGCUGCCUUGCCUUGCAGAGCUUACGACCGGGCCCGCUAAUUGCCUUAAAAGCCUCAGUAACAAUUAUUAGGUUGAAGGACGAUAGGGGAUGUCAGUAGUAGUAGUUCUUGUUUCAGUCUUAUUGCCUGAAUAGCUGAAAAGAGUUGACUUGCAAUACAUGUAAGCUUUUGUUCUUCUGCUUCAUUAUAAGUAACCUAAGAAUUACUUGAACCGAUCGCGCAGGUCACCCUCCAACUUGAGCCAAUGUUCAAGCGAUCCAUCACCAACAGGGUCGUAAGCGACGUUGGCUUCGAGCAAACCAUCUCCUCGUACGCUGCCGCUACAUACUAUGGGGACAUCAGCUGGUAUCCGUCACAACGCAGAGUGGUGUACCGAGAUGAUAUCAAGGUCCCCAUCACCACCAAAGGAAAGGGUGUCAACGACUACUUAGGGUUCCGAGCUCAGCCCACCCUUGUCGUAGCCUCUCUACGUGCUUCAGGUCUUAUAAAUUGCAGUUUUUAUUUUGCUUGUCAAUCUUGAUGUAGUGUUCGAGAAGUAUUGUGAACACAUUUACAUCGACAUUUCGUCCGAGAUUUAUACUAAGAAGGCAUCUUUUGUCCUCUACCAUGUGUUUGUGUCAAUGACUGCAGAGGAACUAUUGGAAGCAACGGGAAAUGCGGAAGGCAAAUGUGUGCUGUUCAGAUUGCAAGUAGAUACUUUGAUUGCGAUCGGCAUGGGCUUUAAGAACAAUGACGGCGGCUUGUUAGAAUUCACUGGCUAUCCGGUCAUUGGAAACCAAAGCGACAUGCAAUCCGCUGGUAGGUUCUCAAAUUAUCCGAGGAAUGUCUGCAUGUAUGAAUGAUAACUCUUGACGAUAAUGCUUCAUCACAAUAAUGACACAUGUAAUGCCCGGAUUUAUUUAGUUUGAGUCAUCUUCUCUCCAGGUUCAUGCCUAAGGAGUGCAGAAGACAACCUUCUUACAGCCUGUGGCUGGGACCCUCGUUUUGCGGGGCUCUUCUACCACCAAACCACGAUAAGCAUCCCCUUCACCACCAUCGCUGGCUUCAUCGCCGACGUCAAGAAGCUCCGCGACGCCCAUCCCGACGCACUCUGCAGCACCGAGCUGUACUUGGGCUUCUUCAUGCGCUUCGUCCGCAACUCCACAGCUUAUCUUGGCAAAACCGACGACGUGGUGGACAUCGACAUCACAUACUAUCGUUCCAAGGAUCCAAAAAAGCCGCGACUCUACGAGGAUGUGCUCGAGGAGAUCGAACAGAUGGCCUUGUUCAAGUACAAUGCGCUGCCGCACUGGGGGAAGAAUAGAAAUGUCGGCUUCCUCAAUGUCAAGAACAAGCUGGGGGCUAAGUUGGACAAGUUUGUGAGUGUGAUGCAGAAGUAUGACAGCAAUGGAUUGUUCUCUUCAGACUGGACCGAUGCGGUACUGGGACUGCGAGGGAAGGAAGUUGUGGUGCAGGGUGAUGGUUGUGCACUGGAGGGGCUGUGCAUUUGCUCCACUGAUGACCACUGCGCUCCUAAACAAGGCUAUUAUUGUCGACCUGGAGAAGUCUACGAACAGGCUCGAGUGUGCAGGAAGAUUAAAUCCGUGGAAGCUGAUGGUUAGGUUUAUUUCUGUGUCGCUUCCUCUUCGAAUAAAGGAUGUAAUGUCAGUCAAUAAUUACUACAUAGUUUAUUAUUGUAAUAUUAAAGCAAGCGUCGAUAAAUGCAAUAUUGUAUGGGAGGCAGAUUGCAUUCCUCCUGAUUUAUCUGUGCAACUCCAAGAUGACUUAUGCAAGUCAUUCUAUAGAACUAUAAUGUGUUAAUAAAUUUCUUUUGGGCAAAAAAAUUAGGACAUAAUUUCUCAUUGUUUUUAAUUGCAAGAUCCCAUUGUGAAGGAAAGGAACACUCUCCAGUAUCCGUUGCAUGAAAGGGACGAGGAAGCAAGAAAUAACAGUGCCAUUAUUAAUGCCAUCGUGUGGAGAGACGUAGUAUGUUAACGCGAUAUUCUUCGCUAUCAUUCCUUAAAAUAAGAAUGAUGAUUAAUGAUAAUAACCUGCGACUCACGUAAACGUUCUGAUUAAUUUUACAUUAAUCACACUUGAACCACGUUUCGUGACACAAAUGACAUGGUAGUUCACACCGGUUGCAUUUCAAAUUUUUGACUCAAAGCUCGUCCUAUGGAUCGCGAGAAUAAACCAUAUGGUAAGAAGCUACGUAAAUAUGGAAAUCACAAAGAAUGGUGAUUACUGUAAUUAAGCCUUCCUCGAUCCCCCCCAACCCCAAGAAACUACUGCUCUCUCUAAAUAACUCUACGGCGCAGCAUCCAAUCUCCUUUUUGUUCCUUUCUCAUCCUCGUAAUAUAAUUUAGAGAUAGGAAGUGGUCGCGCCAUGAGCAAGGGAAACAGCAGCGAGAGCAAGCUGAGCCAGUGCAUCAAGGCCCCCGACCUGGCUCUGCGACAUACCCGGGACUUGUGCGAGAGCAGCAUGGCCGGGACUGAUAAUAUAUGUAUACACGAUAAUCUCAUGUAAGCUCGUUCAUCUACACCAAAUACUAGUUUUAGAUCGGGCAUGACAUCCUGAAGGAAUGAUUGUUUAAUUGACGACAGUGUUUAUUUACGUGUGGAUUUGACGUGCUUGUUUCCAUCUUUAAAAAGGAAAAUUCAAAUUCUUUUAAAAAAAAACUGUCAACUUAAUUUUUCAAAUAGCUCUUCAAAAAAUUCUCAUUGAGUAUUUUUUUUUUUCAAAAAGACUAUUCUAUAUCAAUCGGUCAUCGCCUCCGCCUCGUAUCACUUCUGAACACGUAUCAGAGUAUUUUUUUCAAAAAGUUUCUUCUAAGCGUGAGACAAUGUAUCACUUCUGAACACGUAUCAGAGUAAAUCCAGGCCAUUGCAGUUUGCAACUUCUUCUUUCUUUUCCUGAUCCAAUUCUUACAGUUGUUGGUGAUCAUCCGCAAUUUCUUCCCAGUAUAUGUUCCCCUUGUAGCUCAAGCAAUAUCCGAAGGUAACUUUAGCUAUAAAUUUCGUUUGGUUUGGAAGUUCAAGAAAAAAUAGUCACUCUUAUGUCCAAAGUUAUUGACAGAAAUGAGGUGGUCUCAUUAACUAUGCUUUGAUACUAUGGACUACGGUCAAGAAUUUGAAGCUGUCUGGCAACAUUUACAAGUGAGAAUGGAACGGAUAAAUGAAAUCAAAAGUACCCAUUUGGACUGCACAAGAAAAACCUUUAUGACUGACGUUUUGAACUGUUCAUAUGAGGUAGUCACUGUUAACUCACAUCCACGUUCAAGAAAAGGAUGUGCUACAGUCUCCUAGCGGUGGCAAUUCCAUGAUUGUCCACCGAGGAUGCUUAUUAUUCUUAUUCGCAAGCAGUUCGUCUGAGAAAUUAACUCAGAAGCCUCGUAUUGUGCUUCUGCUCAACCAAAGAAAGAGAUCAGAAGUGGAGAUAGAAGAUCCAUGGAGCAGGACGAUCCCAAUUACCUCUUCCAGGCCUAAAUUGUAGAGUAAGUUGAUCUCUGUCAUAACCAAGUCUUGGCAGCGAUCUCCAAAGAGUUCCAUGCAUCUCGGCCAUGUAGUCGGCAACGAAGCGACGUGAUGGCAUUGAAUUCAGUGUACUCUCUGUGCAGUCACCUUACUCGGCAUCCAUGCAACCGUUCUUCCUUUAUUUUCAAAGAUAAUGAUUACUGAUUUCUUCGAGGGGAAGUGCUUCUAAAUGUGCUCGUGCAAUUGAUUCUCUUCUCAAUCGAUCUUGAUGUGCCAUGCGAUCAAACUCACAUUACGGUGUUCGUGAACAGACGUUGAAGAUCAUGGAAGGAGUAUUUUGUUUGCUGUGAUUGUGUGGAGAGAAACACACGAGGCAAGGGAAGUCCCUGUGUAGUCGGAGAAGGCAACGGAUGGCUUGGCUUUUUCUUCCCUGUAAAGGUGGAAGACGAGAUGGCCAGAUGAUCUAAUAUUAUAUUGCAGUGUUGCGUCUGUCCGUGGUUGUAGGAGUGUCCUACAAAAACAAUAACAGCUUGUUACUAAGACAUGUUCUAUAAACAAUCAAAACAAUUAAAUAUUACACGCAUUAUAUUAAGACCAGCAGAAAAUGUCUUACGUGAUUAAGUAAUUUAGUAUCUGAUAUGGGACUGACAUAUAAAUCAAAUUCUUUUAAAGUAGAAGAAUCUGAAAUAUUUUUUCUUUGUUUUUCUCAAAUAACCUAUUCAAUCUUAUUUCAUAUGCGAACCCAUUAGUUCAUCAAAUAAAAAUAUAGAUAAAUCUUUUGACUCUUAUAACAAUAUGAUCAAAUUUCGGAGUUAAACUUUUCAAAACUUUUAUAACAAUUAUAUGAUAAGGAAGAUGUACACCAUAAAAUUUUAUUUAACUAACAAUAUCAAUCACUUGUGAAAGAAAAUCUUACAUCGAUUCAUUAUUUUUCAUGAAUAAAUUUUAAAUUCACCACGAAGGGUUUAAAGUUUUACUGUAAUCACCCUUGUUGAGCCUUGAAAUUCAUUUUGAAGUAUCAAUCAAACUUGCUUUAAGGUUAUUGCUAUUGUAAUUCUUGAGAAAAUUAUUUCAUGUAUAGCUUGUUGAAUGAACAACAAUGCCUUUGAGUUCUUAUUUCUAUUCUUCCUCAGCCUGAUUUUUUUAUGUAGACCUACAUAUCCAUUCUCUAUUAAGUCCCAAAGAUCUUGAGACUUGAAUAAAAUAUUUAUCUUGAUACUCUAAAAUUCAUAGCAUUUGUCCGAGAAGAUGGAAAUAAGGGGUUGAGACAUAAAAUUAUUAUUAAAAGUCAUAAUACCCAAUUCGGAUUGAAAACUUAGCUAUGAUACCAUAAAUGUUGAGGAUGAAGGAAUAAGGAAAUGAUAAAAACAGAAUACUAUGAUAUAAUUAAAAAAAAUAUUUUGAUCAAGAAAAUCGUUGUAGUAUUUAAAUAAGAUAUAAGAUAUGAACACUUACAAGAUAUUCUCAAGUGCACACUCUUUAUCUUAUUUCAUGAAUUAAGGUCUUAUUUAUAGGACAUAGUGGUAACUACCUCACUCCAUCAUGUCACCCGUGAUUGAAUUAGGUGUAGAAACUACCUUAUAAUUUUUAGAUCAUGGGUCAUUAUUUAAAAUAUGUCCACAACUAUUUAAAACAUGAUAACUAUCUAGAUAACUACUAUGAAUCAUUAAUUUUACGUUACUGUUUUCUUCGAGCGGAAGUGCUUCUAAAUGUGCUCGUGCAAUUGAUUAUCUUCUCAAUCGAUCUUGGUGUGCCAUUCGAUCAAACUCACGGUAUGGUGUUCGUGAACAAACGUUGAAGAUCAUGGAAGGAGUUUUUUUUUUGCUUGCUUGACGUAAUUGUGUGGAGAGAAACACACGAGGCAAGGGAAGUCCCUGUGUGGCCGGAGAAGGCAACGGAAGAUCAAGUGCAAGACAACCGAUGGCUUGGCUUUUUCUUCCCUGUAAAGGUGGAAGACGAGAUGGAUAGAUGAUCUAAUAUUAUAUUGCAUUGUUGAGGGUAUCCAAUCAUUGUACAUCUGUCCGUAGCCGUAGGAGUGUCCUAAAAAAGCAAUAACAGCUUGUUACUAAGACAUGUUUUAUAAACAAUCAAAACAAUUAAAUAUUACACGCAUUAUAUUAAGGCCGGCAGAAAAUGACUACUACUUUUCGAUACUCUCUUGUGUUGUGCUUACGUGAUUAUAGUAUGAUAUGAGACUGACAUAUGACCAACACUUCAGUAACGUACGACCUACACCUCAACCGGAGGAUCUCAUCCAAGCAAUGCAUAGUAGGCACUUUGACACUCAACGGUAGGAAUCUAAAGCUCUUCAACCCCUAAUGUAUGGAAUUUGAGGUGACUUCGUAAUUUUCUUUUACAAAUUUUAAUAAAUAUAUAUUUCUCUCUAAAUAUUAUUAUCAUUCAAAUAAAUCCUUCACAUUAACGUUCUUUAAAAAGAAACCAAGAUAACCACAAUAAUCAUGGUUUUCUUCAAUUGACCAUUUGACUUCAAACCAAUUUUUAACAUAAAAUAUUUUAUAUAUCUUACUAUCUUAAUAAGGCUUGUAAAAUGUAUCAAUGUCGCUCUAAUGGUGAAAUAACAGACAUGGAGAAUAAUUUUACAGUCUCCAUAUAUAAAUAAAAAAAUCACUCUAUGUAUAAGAACACACAAAGGUAUAAUUACACUAAAAACAAUACAAUUAUCGAUGCCCCUCGCAAAAAUAUUUUAUAUCGGUUGUAUUUAAUCGGCUCACGUCGAUCAAGGUUUGUGUUUUGUCGUUAAAUCAAUCAAGUUGUCCAUUUGAUAUCAUUCAUUUACGUGCAUUUGUCCAUCAAAUAAUAAUAGUUGGACCAUGAGUUGGCUAUCUUAUCUUCCUGCCCAUCAAAACCCUUCCAUGAUGUGGCAUCGAAUAAACUUACGAUUAAAACAUGAUGAAUCAACCCUUACAAUUUAUAACAAAUAAUUGGACCGAUUCUUCCAAAUUUUAUAGUCCCAUCGUGAGGGAUGCAUGACCAAACAACCUCGCCCACAGCAUUUGACGCAGCCAUCACUAACCUUAUCGCUUUUAAAUGCAUAGUAUGGUAAAAAUAAUGAUAAUAAACUCGCGUCACAAGUUGAUAUUUUUAUUGGUUUUAGUCAAUUUCCACUUGAAGCACGUGAAUGACGUAAAUGACAUUACAGUUCGCAUUGCGUACGCAUCUAACUCUUUUGACUGGAAGCUCCUCCAAUUGCAUGUCCAUGAAUCAGAUAUGGAUGAUAUGGUACCACUUUUCCAUUGUCUUCCCACGCACAUCAUCCACGGUUUCCACACAGACUAGUAGAAGUAAAAUUGCCAACUCAUCUACCUCCAUCUAUCAAUAUAUUAUAUAAUCUCGUUCUUGCAUCGCGUGUUCUGCGACCAUCAACCGGAGACAUUAACAAUUAUGAGCCAUUCCAACACGUCUAAGUACACGUCAGAUUCAUCGGGAUGGCAUAAUCUCUUGAUAAGUCAAUGGGCUUUACCUCCCUUAUUUUAUCUGAAUUUUUUUCUGACUGUGUAAACAAAUUCACCUAUAUAUACAGACAUGCCCGGAUCAACUCUGGACAACCAUCAUGGCCGCCACCCACAUUGCCCUGUUCGUUUCCGGCCUUGCCGUCUUGCUUCUCCUCGUCCAAGGAUCGCCGCCAGGGCCUGUUGUCCAGUGCCGGUCUGGCAACACUAACUGCACCGUGACCAACGGCUAUGGAGCCUUUCCUGAUCGCAGUACCUGCCGCGUCGCCGCGGUCGCGUACCCUUCGAACGAACAGGAGCUCCUGUUAGCUGUCUCCGACGCCACCGUGAAGCAGCAGCACGUGAAGGCGGUCACGGUGUACUCACACAGCAUCCCCAAGCUGUCGUGCCCCGGCGGGCCGAGCGGCCAGGGCCUGGUAAUCAGUACCCAGCGCCUCAACAGAUCGGUGAGCGUGGACUUGGCCACCUCGCGGAUGACGUUCGAGGCAGGGAUCACACUUAGGGCGCUCCUUGACGCGGCGGCCGCCCGUGGCCUGGCGCUGCCCCACUCGCCGUAUUGGCAAGGGGUGACGCUGGGCGGGCUGCUGAGCACCGGCUCACACGGGAGCUCGGUGUUCGGGAAAGGCUCGGCGGUGCACGAAUAUGUGGUAGGGAUGAGGCUGGUGGUUCCAAGUCCGGUCCCGGUGAACGGAUCCUACGCCAAGAUCGUUAAUCUUGGUGAGGACGAUCCUGAUCUCUUGGCUGCCAAGGUUUCUCUCGGUGUUCUUGGAGUUAUUUCUCAGGUAUAUAUGCGGUGACCUACUUGUUAUUCUUUGUUCUUUACACGGUUUGAGAUCCAUGUGAUAACUCAUCUUAGUUCUUCACGGUGUUUCUUCCAACCACGUCGAGUACUUUCAUAAACUGAGUACAUGACUUGCUACGUCUCGAUGCUAAUUAGGUGCAACUCUAUAUUUAAUUGUUCAUUCUAUUGUUAGUAUCAAGACUUUGUUUGCACUACGUCAGCAAAAUGUCGAGACAAAAAAAAACUUGUUUUCAGUCAAAUCACUUUGCGAAGGAAGACUUGUUCUUUUCCUCCAAUAUAUAAAGUUAUGUAAAAUAAUUGGCAGUUGAUGAUCCCAAUGGACUUUAGUUUUAAUCUUCCCUUCUUUUCUUGCUUUGCUUGUAUUCCUUUUUUGAAAAUGGGCUAAUGCAAACGUUUGAAUCGUUCUAUUGAUUCCAUGUACCUUCCCUCCUAGUUUGUAGUAACUACAUAGCACAGUUGAGUGUUAUGGAACAUAUGAGCACAUUCAAACCCACAUGGACAAAGAUCAGAGAAAAAGCAAACUUAAAUGAGAGUGAAGGCAUGAUUUGAAGCCAUCAUUUUACAUCUAUGGUUGUUCCAUCUAGUUAUAUCUUAUAGAUGUAGAGUUUUUUUCUUGGAAGAACAGCUACAGUGACGUUGAUGAUGACUCGGGGUAAAUGAGAGUGCCCCUUCCUUCACAUAUGGAGCCUCGCGCAAGGCAAGAGGCAGGCAGGUCUACGCUGCCUUGCCUUGCAGAGCUUACGACCGGGCCCGCCAUUGCCUUAAAAGCCUCAGUAACAAUUAUUAGGUUGAAGGACGAUAGGGGAUGUCAGUAGUAGUAGUUCUUGUUUCAAUCUUGUUGCCUGAAUAGCUGAAAAGAGUUGGUUUGCAAUACAAGUAAGCUUUUGUUCUGCUGCUUCAUUAUAAGUAACCUAAGAAUUACUUGAACCGAUCGCGCAGGUCACCCUCCAACUUGAGCCGAUGUUCAAGCGAUCCAUCACCAACAGGGUCGUAAGCGACGUUGGCUUCGAGCAAACCAUCUCCUCGUACGCUGUCACUACUCACUAUGGAGACAUCAUCUGGUAUCCAUCACAAGGCAGAGUGGUGUAUCGAGAUGAUAUCAAGGUCCCCAUCACCACCAAAGGAAAGGGUGUAAACAACUUCUUAGGGUUCCGAGCGCAGCCCACCCUUGUCAUAGCCUCUACACGUGCUUCAGGUGUUAUAAAUUGCAGCUUUUAUUUUGCUUGACAAUCUUGAUGUAGUGUUCGAGUAGUAUCGUACUUGAUUUAUACUAACAAGGCAUCUCUUGUCCUCUACGAUGUGUUUGUGUUUAUGACUGCAGAGGAACUAUCGGAACUAACAGGAAAUGCCGAAGGCAAAUGCGUGCUGUCCAGAUUGCAAGCGGAUACUCUGAUUGCGACCGGCAUGGGCCUUAAGAACAAUGAUGGCGGCUUGUUAGAUUUCACCGGCUAUCCGGUCGUUGGAAACCAAAGCGACAUGCAAUCCGCUGGUAGGUCCUCAAAUUAUUCCAGGAAUGUAUAUAAUGACACAUGUAACACCUGAAUUAUUUAGUCUGAGUCAUCUUCUCUCCAGGUUCAUGCCUACGGAGUGCAGAAGACAAACUUCUCACGGCUUGUGGAUGGGACCCUCGUUUUGCGGGGCUCUUCUACCACCAAUCCGCGAUAAGCAUCCCCUUCACCACCAUCGCUGACUUCAUCGCCGACGUCAAGAAGCUCCGCGACGCCCACCCCAACGCACUCUGCGGCACCGAGCUGUACUUGGGCUUCUUCAUGCGCUUCGUCCGCAGCUCCACAGCCUAUCUUGGCAAAACCGACGACGUGGUGGACAUCGACAUCACUUACUAUCGUUCCAAGGAUCCAAAACGGCCGCGACUCUACGAGGAUGUGAUCGAAGAGAUCGAACAGUUGGCCUUGUUCAAGUACAAUGGGUUGCCCCACUGGGGGAAGAAUAGAAACGUCGGCUUCCUCAAUAUCAAGAACAAGUUGGGGGCCAAGCUGGACAAGUUUGUGAGUGCCAUGCAAAAAUAUGACAGCAAUGGAUUGUUCUCUUCAGAUUGGACCGAUGCGGUGCUGGGACUGCGUGGGAAGGAAGUUGUGGUGCAGGGAAAUGGUUGCGCAUUGGAGGGGUUGUGCAUUUGCUCCACUGAUGACCACUGUGCUCCUAAACAGGGCUAUUAUUGUCGACCUGGAGAAGUCUAUGAUCAGGCUCGAGUGUGCCGGAAGAUUAAAUCCGUUGAAGCUGAUGGUCAGGCAGACAGCUUGUGAUACCGUUCACAUUCAUUUGCUGUAAGGUUUGUAUCGGUGUCACUUCCUCUUUGAACAGACGAUGUAAUGCCAGUCAAUAAUUACUACAUAAUUUAAUAUUGUAAUUUUAAAGCAAUGAUCAAUAAAUGUAAUAUUGUAUGGGAGUCAGAUUACGUUCCUCCUGAUAUUAUUUAAGCAACACUUCCAUUAUUAAUGCUAUAAUGUCGAGAGACAGUACGUUAAUGCAAUCUUCGCUUCCAUUUCUUAAAUAAUAAUAAUAAUGAUAUUAUAUUUUAUCUAGAAAAAUUCUCACAAUUGAGCUUUUACAAAAUGAUGCCCUGUAAAUAAUUUUUAUGUGGGACAUCUUUCAUAUUAAAUUGAUGAAACUACCCUCUGUCCUCCACGAGUCCCCUCCGUCGCCCCUGCUCUCACCGCGAAUGGUGUCGUCCGUCCUCCCUUCCCCCACCUCCCUAGCCGCCCGCCCCUUCUCGCUGGUGGCCUGCCAUGGGCGACGAUCGCACGGGUGUCGCAGGUGAGGGUUGCGACGAAAGGGCCGCUUCGGAUGGCGAGUAGUGGCUGAAUCGAUGGCGUAGCGAUGGGAGAUGGCCUCGUGGGUGACGCACCACGGUACCUAGCGACGGGAUCCGCCCUCUCGUCCUCGCUAUUCGCGACGAGGUUGUCGCGUUUUCCCUCGACAUUCAUGACCACGAGUUGGUCACUCGCGACACAAAACGGAGAAUUGGCUGCGGAUAGCUGUUGCUGGCCGCGGCAAGGAUGAGAAAGACAGGCGACGAGGGAUUGAAGAUGGCGAUGAAGACGGGGAGUGGUGGACGGCGAGGCGAGCAAAGCCGCGGAUGCGAUCGGGGGAGGAGGAGGAGGAAGGGAGGGGAAGGGGAAGGUAGAUGGCGACGGAUGACGCUGCACGUGGUAGGAGCGAGCGUAGAACCGACGAUUGAUGAUUAGUGUAAUUACGCUACGAUGAUGAUGUAAUAAUAAUAUAACGAGAUUUAAAAUGGGCAUAUAUCGAUAAACAUUAAUUUUCUUUCUUUAUUUAGGUCACGUCCUAACUACAGGUGUAUUAAACUCGGUGCCUUCGCCACAGAGCUAACUGGUGGAGGGGCAGAAGGUAAUGGUGUAGUCUGCGGCGCCCGAGGCGCACGUGAACGUGCUCGUGGCGUCGUCGUAGGCGUAGCUGUACGCCGCCGGGCACGCCGCCUUGAAGAGCUGCGAGUAGCGCGUCGGCCCGCACGUCGUCGGGGAGCCGUGGGCUCCCGUGCAACAGUACUCUGGGGAUCCGAACGCCUCGCACGCGCUCCGGCACGCCAUCGUCUCCCCGGACUCCGACGCCACCCGCAGCUCCGCCGGGCACCGCGCGUUCACGUCCGCCACGCACCCCGCGUACCGGCAGCUGCCCCCCACGGCCGCCCCGGAGGGGCGCACCCCGAUGCCAACGUUGUAGCCGUCGACCAAGCUCACGUCGUAAAAGUCCUUGGCGCCGUCACCGCCGCCGAGGGUGAACUCGGCGAGACUUACCGGCGGGGCGCCACCGAUAGAGCAGCGGAGGGCCCCACCGCAGUCACCGGUGGCGCAGGACCCGUUGGCAGAGGAGGAGUCGAAUAGGCAGCUGGUACGGGCCCAGAAGCGGCCGGACCAGCCAGGUGGGCCGGAGAAGGAGCUGGUGGCGUUGGGUGGGAGCUCGAAGCUGCCAUUACCAAGGAGGACGGCGCCGUUGCCGGACAAUGCGCCGGGCCAUACGGUAUACGGACAAUUGUUCUCGAGGAUGAAGGCGGUGCCAGCACCCGCCGCCGCCGGUGCCCGUAACGCCCCUGCUUCAAUUUAACAGAUAAAAGAAGAAGUAGGCGCUUUGCGCGGAAAUGCUUAAACUUGUGGGUUAAUCAGGCGCUUACCUGAGAAGAGGAAUGUUCCGAGGCCGAGGAGGAACAAUUUCAGCAGGAAAGCCGCCAUGACGAGGCACAGCGAGUCGUGAGUCCGUUGCCGGUAGCUGAUUGCUCAGGUAAAUGUGGUUGGGAUGUAAGUGUGUCCUUCACGAAUCUCAAAGUAUGUUGUGAAGAUCCGCUAAAAGAUCUCCACACGUCGUGCAUGAUGUGACAAUUGGCACCCCACUCGGUGUUUUAUAGAGAGCUCCCUAUAAAAUUUCUUCUGGUGCAAAUUGGUAGAGUUUGUCACGAUUUGGGGUCUAUUGUCUCUUCUCAAUUUGAAAUUUGUCCAAUAUGUCUUGGACGAUCCGUGGAAGGUUUACCUGACAAGGAGAGUAUCCGAUUUGGAGUGACUUUUCUUGAGAUAUGAUAAGUUUAAGCCUCCAAGAAAGCAAGAUUGAGGUAUUUGUUCCCGAAUAUUUGAUCAUCCAACUAAACCUUAAUUGCCUUAUGAUAGAUCAUAUUCAUUGCUUCACGUUGAAUUAAAUGCCAAACUUACACAUCGCUCCAUUUGCUAUGCCCUUCUUGUGUGCAUUGGGAUAGUUCUCCUUUCUGGUCACCUAAUGUCUUCCUUCCUGGAUACUUAAGCUGUGUCUCAAGCAUCUCACGAGAAUGGAGGUUCACCGAGAUGCAUCCUUCGGAGGGGCGUUCGCAUACUAAGAACGGAUGAGCCUGACGUGGGGAGAUAGGCUUUACGUUGAGGUGCAUGGCUGUGGUAAUGGCUUUCUCGUUUGGGCGACACCUCUCCCUGCAGCGCGACCUGCGUGAAUUCUGCAGUUCAAGUCGGUGACGGUUGAGCUCCAUGCACGAGCACCACAAUGUACGUGUGCUCACCGUCAUGAAUCCUGCACCGUCCGUUUCAUGAAUCUUCGUGUCAUCCGUCGGAUCGGACGGCCAGCUGGUCUCCUCUGUCAGGUAAAAUAUGCGUCGGGGUUGUCUCUCCCAAAAGGAGCUGUUGGUCAUAUGUUUGCCUCACGUAAUGCCAUCACUUUAAGAACAUGAGAAGAAGGCAACCAAAGGAUAUUUCAAAAGGGAUGCUGAUCGAUCUUCGCUUUGUCUUCUGCUAAGCUGCCUUUGCCAAAGCAUGGUGAUGCAUUUCACCACCAACUGUCCACCUAAUAUUGGAGCAGAAUUUGGUGACUGCUCAACUAUUUUUUACUCCUCUUUCUCAUCGGACUCGUACGUUUGGUUGAAAAGUCAUCUUAGGGGGGUAUAAUGCUUGACGAGCUCUUGAGGUAUAAUCUUCGAGAAAACUAGUGUUCUAAAAAAUAUAUAUGUAUCAAAACAAAUUAUACCUUUUAGAAUUACCAAAUUCAGGUGUUUUGGACGAGCACAAUACGUCGACCUCAGAUUGACUUCAACUUACUAUUCAACAUGUACAAUCAAAUUUUUACUUAGCAAAUUAGUACGUUGACUUAUUCCAUGCAUUUGGUUCUGUCUGCGGCUUGGUUUUCGCCGCCACCUAAUGGACAGACACCAAAUAGUUCGUAGCUCAGCCAAGUCAUGUCUUUUGGAGAGAGAGAGAGAGAGAGAGAGAGAGAAUGUGGUCGUUGAGAAAAUCGAGUGCGAAGGGCAUAGAAGGCCAAUUAACAAGUCAAGCGGCCAAAUGCAUGUUGAGAACAAAAGUCAAACUUGGUUUCAGCAAAGGGUGGUCUGCGGCGGAUAUCACAAGAAAAAGAUGCAUAACGUCAAUUAAAAAUAAGUCUUUUAGCCAUUGAAGGUGCAAUUUGGAACAAAAGUAUUUAUUAAUUAUAGGAAAGAAGGCCGUCAUGAUAAAAAAGAUUUCAAAAAUCUCGCCAGUAUGUAUAUAUAUAAUAAUGACCUUAUGCAACAUCUCAUGUUUAAUAUUUAAUUUAAGAAUCUAAUUGUAAAUAUAAAUAUUACAGGAAUUAAAAUGUAACAAAGUCAAAAAGAAAAAAGGAAAAAAGAAAAUUUUCUUCCGCACCGCCUCUCCCUUCUCUUGAGAGGGGCUUCGGGUGAGAAAGGAGCAGAAGGAAGAUAGAAACAAUAAAGAAGAGAAGAAGAUGAAUAGAGGGUAAAAAAGAAAGGGAGAAGAGGCGGAGAAGAGAAGAAGAAGAAGGAAAAGAGAAAGGAAAGAAGAAGAAAAAGUAGAGGAUCGGUCGUGAGACCAGAGAGGAUAAAAAACAAAGAGAACAAAAAGAAUGGAAGAAGGAGAGGAAAAGAAGGAAAGGAGAAGGGAAAGAAGAGUAAAAAAAAGGGUUGGUGCAAGUGACAUGGACCAGAGGAAAGCAAAAAAAAAAAAUGGUGGAUUGGAUUUGAGAUCAGAUGAAUCUAAAAAUUAUAUGAGGUAUGGUUUUGAAUUCUCUUUAAUUCUUAUUAAUUAGAUUUAUAUUUUAGAUUAUAAAUUGAGAAAUUUUGUUAAUUGGACACCUAUACAUCGAAGAGCAUAAAAGAUAAAUAAUAAUAAUUUUAGAAGAAAAAAAAUCAGAAUAUAAGUUACGGAAGAUAUGCGAUCAAACUCUCUAAUCUGUUUUCAAAGAUAUUAAUGCGUGUGUUGUAUGAUUAAUAAAAUAUGGGUAUUAAUCUAAGAAAAAAAAAGGGUAGCAUUUCUAUUCAGUGGAGAUAUGUACAGAUGAACUGUAUUUAUAAUAUCCUUUUGGAACACCUACAAUCGCUCUCAUCUCCGUUGUGUCUUUUCUCAGUAGAUAAAGACAUGAGUGUCGAGUCAAUCUUUCCAACCCGUCGAUGUACAUCCGAUGAGAGCACGAAGCAGCUUCUCAGAGUUCCUCGCGCCCACAGACGAGCACAAACCUCCUGGUGGCCGCACACGGUAUUUGAGCCUGCUGUUUCCCCGGCGUGAGUGAAUUGAAUUGGGAGGAUUGCCUCUUCGCGUGCCUCAAAGGUCGUCAACGGUGCCUCAGCGUCAUGCUAUAUAUAACAAGCCCUCUCUUGGUCCCUGUACCAUCGACCACCAACAACGUCAGCGACUUGCGGUUCUCCAACGAGCGAAGCUAAUCGAGGAAAGCGAUCCAGAAUAGAAGAGAUGGCUCAUUCCGGUGCUGCCGAAGUCUUCACGGAAGAGCAGGAGGCGCUUGUGCUGAAAUCAUGGAACGUGAUGAAGAAGGACUCAGCCAACCUGGGGCUAAAGUUGUUCUUGAGGUACUACGACUAUUCCUCGCUCUGUGGCCAAUGGACCCCAACCGUGUUGCUGGUCAUUGAGCAUGUCUUAUUCUCAGGAUCUUCGAGAUUGCCCCGUCAGCAACUCGACUCUUCUCCUUCCUACGUGACUCCGAUGUGCCAUUGGACAAGAACCCAAAGCUCAAGCGCCACGCCAUGUCCGUCUUCGUCAUGGUACCUCUCAUCUUUCUUCCUUUAUGUACGCAUACAUUGUCAUGCAUCUGCAGAAAGCCGUUGCUCAAACUUUCGUAUUCUCCUCAGACAUGCGAAUCCGCGGUGCAACUGCGGAAAGCCGGGAAGGUCACGGUGAAGGAGACGACUCUUAAGAGGCUCGGUGCAAGCCAUUUCAAAUACGGUGUAGUAAAUGAACACUUUGAGGUAAUAGAUUCUGCUAGCAGUUUUUGUGAUCUCAGAUCAUUUGCUCAUAAAUUCAAUGACAUACAUUAAAGUUCAGCAAACAACAAGUCAAACAAGGUUCAGUGCAAACCGAUGACUGCAACUUUUGUUUAAUGCAUGGUGCAGGUUACGAGGUUUGCUUUGUUGGACACAAUAAAGGAGGCGGUGCCGGACAUGUGGUGCCCUGAGAUGAAGGCGGCAUGGGGAGAGGCUUAUAACAAGCUUGUUGCAGCUAUCAAGGAAGAAAUGAAGCCCAUUCCUUCCCCAUAGAAUUUAAUUCUCUCUCCUUGUUCUGUGGGCAAACCGGAAAUAAGAGGGCGUCAUGUGUGCUCGUACGUGUAGUUUAGUUUACCUUACAGUAUGUUCUGUGCCCAAUCUUUCUCCCAGUCAUCGGAUUGCGUCUGUAAACCAACGUACUUUUCUAGUAUACAUCUCAUUUCGAAUCAUAAAUUAUAGGACAGUUCUUUUUAUCCUCAUAAUGCCGCUAAAUUAAUUGAGGAAUACAUUACGAUGAGGGAGAGAGAUUCUCAAAUAUUAGAUUUUCAGGAAUGUUUUCAUCAUGAUUUUUUUUAUCAUAUAUCGUAAAAUUAAAUAUAAUUAAAAUAUUUUAAUUGUACGUAAGAAACUGAUCAGAAUAUGCACCGAUCUAAAGGAGGCAGAGGAGACAACUGCCUAUAUCAAUCUCAAUUACUUCAACUUCGGCCGAGGAAGAUCGCACUGUCGAGAAUUGGAUAAUAGAUCAGCCGGUAGAGAGGCGACCACAGUGGGUCCGCUGGCAGAGUAGCAGCGGCGAGGGUCCGCCGGCAAAAUAGCAACGGCGAUGGGCCGCUGGCUUGCGAGGAAGUUGACAGGCAGAUGGCAAACGGAGGGGCGACCACAGUUGGCGACCCCCGAGGACGAGGAGGCUGAGAGGAGGUGGCGGGUGCUCAGCCUGCUUCUGUGCAACAGCCGAGAGGAGGCGGCGGGCCUCCGGCUGUCUGAAAGCUGGAGGGCAGGAACUCCGCCGGAGCUCCGCUGGAGGAAGCGGAGGAAGGGACGCUGAGGGCAGCGUAGCAGUUCGGAGAGGACGCUGUUGUUGCCGCCAACGGCAGUGAGAGAUGAUUUUAUUCCGCUCGGAGCAGUGAUCGGCAAGGUGCGGCGGUUGGUGAGGAAGAAGAGGGAGAGCCUCGCCGGAGUUCCACGGACACUGCGCCUUGAUGCUAAACAACCGAGGUCAACACCGCUCGCCGAAGAGGAACUCGCAGCGGCAGAUCUAAGUCCCGGAUCGCCGGCCAACAGGGAAGGGGGGACUUUGCCGGUGAAGAGGAACUGCUUCGCCGACAUAGAGCACCUUCGCCAGUGAGGAAGAACGGGCGGGCACUUCGCCGAGACGAGGUUGCUCGGAGAAAACCGACAACGGCAGAUUAGCAGAGAUGAGGGACUGCCUUCGUCGGACGGCGACGAAGGGAAGCGGUUCUGAGAGCACUAUGUGAGAAGAAGGGGAGCGCUGUGUUGAUGGCUGCAGGAGGGAGCGGCGGUCGACGAGGCAGAGGUGCCAAGGCCUAAAGCGAAAAAAUGGGAGGAGCAGGUGCGGUGGGCGCCGAGGGCGAGGCGGCCAACGCGGCGCUCGGUGCAGAGAUGAGCGCUUGGGGCAGAGAGCAGUAUUCGAUGGAGUUGCAGCGUCGGAGAAGACGCCGACGUAGUAGGGAGGAGAAGGAGGCUGUUGAUAAGGGUAAAAAUGGCAACAUGACACGCCCUGAUGUCAGCCAUGCCUGGACAACACACUGCCCUAGGAAAUGGGCAUUAACGCCGACUUGAUAUGCGCCAGCGUCACCCGCUCCCAGUCAACGACUCCACCGUCUGACCCCGCGCGCUCAGUCGAGGCAGAGGAGGACGUCGACCGAGGCUCGCCCAUACCCUGCGGCAGUCGGUUCUCCAUGCAACCCCAGUGGCAAUGUCAGACGCCAUCGGAGGUACGGUCCUGCUCCUGCAGGCAGCCACAUCAGGUAACAUCAAACUCAUCUAUAAAUACCCCAGAGUUCUAGACGAACGAGGGAGAGGAGAAAACACAGACACAACACUUAUAUGGAGGUAUUUUCCUCCUCCUAAACCCCCUCCACAUCACUGACUUGAUCGUCGGAGGGGUCGGGCCGAGCUCCCGGCCCGACCUGUGUGCAGGUGCAAGACGGGGUCGACUCUUCCCGGCGCUGCGGCGACGCACUCCCCCCGACGCGACGUCCCGACCGGACCAUUGAGACAGGCCACCGGGAGACCUCGAAGGACACCGCUCGAGAUCCCCGACAUCCGGACCCCCGAACCGAGCCGCGACGGCCCCGAGGCCACGGCUUAAACAAAUGCCCCCCGCAUCAUUUUGGCGCUAGAAGGAGGGCCCGAAUGUUGAGGGAUCCUUAGACUGAUCCCGACGAACUCCCUGCCGAGGGAUCGUUCUAUGCAGGGGCGUAGGCCGUGCGUCCAUUGCGUGACGGGCCGCAGGCUGACGACCUCUCCGCGACUUCGGAACGCUACUGGCGUUCAUUCGACAACCCGGAUCUGCUUCCGCCUGAGGGCGCUCCAAGCGUCCCCUCGCCGGUGUCAUCCGAGGCCUUUCACGACCUCGCUCGUCAAGUCCGAGCUCUGACAGAUAUGUUGCAAACCAUCAUCCCGCUCGUCUCCCAACCGACACCCACGCUUAUGACUCAGCCGCUACGGCAAUAAGAGCCGCCCGCCUGGGCCCACAUGACGCUUCCUAAGCCUCCCACUUCGCCUCGGGUCCGACCGACCCCACUCGGGGAUCCAGUGAUGGCAGACCCAAGCGGCCCCCCGGAGCCCGAAGUAUUAUCUCCGGAGUCAACGGACUCCCUGCGAGCCCAGCUAUGCUUUCUUAGUCAGUAGCUCGACGAAUUAGAGAAGGAGUUUUGCAACUCAAAGGGAGAGCUCGGGAUGGACACAUAUCGAGGAUCCCCGUUCGCACCAGAGAUACGAGAUCACGCGGUUCCCCCAAACUUUCAGCUCCCUUCUUUGGACGCAUAUGACAGCUCCACUGACCCAGCGGACCAUGUCGUCGCUUUCCGUGCCCAAUUGGCACUGUACGGAACGUCUGACGCUUUAAUGUGCAAGGCGUUUCCCGCGACCCUGAGGGGUCCGGCCCGCACAUGGUACAGCGGCCUGAAGACCGGAACGAUCACUUCCUACGGCCAACUCGCUAAGGACUUCGAGCUCCACUUCGUAGCCCAUGCCCGGCCAAAGCCCUCCGCGGCACUGCUCCUCGGACUCAAACAAAGAGAGGACGAGCCCCUCUCACAUUUCGUGGAUCGCUUUGCCACGCGAAUCCGGAGCUUACCGGACACUCACCCCUCUUUGUUAGUGUAGGUGUUUAUGGUAGGCUUGUGACCUUCCAGAUUCUGCUGGUCCCUCGUAGAGCGACCCCUCACCAUAGUACCAGAUAUGCUCCAGCGAGCUAACCGGUACAUCGCGGCGGAAACUUGGGUGACCGCAAGGAAGAGGAGUGACUCUGGGCGGCGGGCCCCGUAGCAACGGUCAAGCACCCGCGGUUGCUAUCCGGUGUAAUCUUCGUGCAAGGAAUCUAGCCCUUGCUUCAGUCUCUUCCAAGAGAAGGCUCCAUGUUUACCUGACUGCCUCUUGGCUCACGGUUAGCUUCGGCCUAACCCCCCUCUUUUUUGCAUUCGCACGGCUCGGUCGUAGACUGCCCGAGUCCACCUCGGCGCGGCCUGCCUGCCUGUGUUGUGCUACUCGGCCGCAUGGUGCCCGAGACCACGCCUGCGCGUCCUGCCCGCCUGCGUCGUGCUACUCGGCCGCAUGACCCUCGCGACCACGCCUGCGCAGUUUGCUCGCCUGCGUCGUGCUCCUCGACAGCAUUAUGCCCGAAACAACACCUACGCGGCCUGCCCGCCUGCGUCGUGCUCCUCGGUCCCAUCAUCCCCGAGACACACCUGCGCGACCAGCCCGCCUGCGUCGUGCUCCUUGGCUCCAUGUUCCCGAGACACACCAGCGCGGCCAGCCCGCCCGCGUCGUGCCCAUCGGCUCCAUACUCUCCGAGACACGCCUACACGGCCAGCCUGCUUGCGCCGAGCUCCUUGUCCAUGCACUGCCGAGUCAAUCUUAGGGCGACUUGCCCACUUGGGUCACGUCCCUCGACCGCAGCCUGCCUACGUCGAGCUUCUCGGUCAUACGCUGCCGAGUUCACCUCAGCGCGGCCUGCCCGCCUGAGCGGUGUCCCUCGGCCACACCGCUGAGUUCACCUCAGCGCGGCCUGCCCGCCUGAAUCGAGUUCCCCGGCUUUUGUCAUAUCCCUCGACCAUAGACGGCUGAGCCCACCUCGGCGCGGCCUGCCCGCCUGUGUCGUGCUACUCGGCCGCAUGGUGCCCGAGACCACGCCUGCGCGUCCUGCCUGCCUACGUCUUGCUACUCGGCCGCAUUGCCCUCGCGACCACGCCUGCGCGGUCUGCUCGCCUGCGUCGUGCUCCUCGACAGCAUGAUGCCCGAGACCACACCUGCGCGGCCAGCCCGCCUGCGUCGUGCUCCUUGGCUCCAUGUUCCCGAGACACACCAGCGCAGCCAGCCCGCCUGCGUCGUGCCCCUCGGCUCCAUACUCUCCGAGACACGCCUGCGCGGCCAGCCUGCUUGCGCUGAGCUCCUCGGCCAUGCACUGCCGAGUCCAAUCUCAGGGCGGCUUGCCCACCUGGGUUACGUCCCUCGGUCGUAGCCUGCCUGCGCCGAGCUUCUCGGGCAUAUGCUGCCGAGUUCGCCUCAGUGCGGCCUGCCCGCCUGAGCGGUGUCCCUCGGCUACACCGCCGAGUUCACCUCAGCGUGGCCUGCCCGCCUGAAUCGAGUCCCCCGGCUUUUGCCAUAUCCCUCGGUCAUAGACGGCCGCGCGGCCUGCCCGCCUGCGUCGUGCUCCUCGGUCCCAUCAUCCCCGAGACACCUGCACGGCCCGCCCGCCUGCGUCGUGCUCCUCGUUCCAUUCUUCCCGGGACACAACUGCGCGNNNNNNNNNNNNNNNNNNNNNNNNNNNNNNNNNNNNNNNNNNNNNNNNNNNNNNNNNNNNNNNNNNNNNNNNNNNNNNNNNNNNNNNNNNNNNNNNNNNNNNNNNNNNNNNNNNNNNNNNNNNNNNNNNNNNNNNNNNNNNNNNNNNNNNNNNNNNNNNNNNNNNNNNNNNNNNNNNNNNNNNNNNNNNNNNNNNNNNNNNNNNNNNNNNNNNNNNNNCUCCCGAGACACACCUGCGCGGCCUGCCCGCCUGCGUCGUGCUCCUCGGCCCUUCGGCUCUGUGCCCUCCCGAGACACACUUGCGUGGCCAGCCCGCCUGCUUCGUGCUCCUCGGCCCUUCGACUCUAUUCCCUCCUGAGACACACCUGCGCGGCCAGCCCGCCUACGUCGUGCUCCUCGGCCCCUCAGCUCCUCGGCUCCAUGUUCCCUGAGACCGCGUCCGCGUGGCCCGCCUGCCUGAAGACAGAAGCCAUGCAUCGGUCUCCCCUUGUACAACAACCGGCGCAUAGCUCCUUUCGGGGGGGGCGGGAAUAUGAUAAGGGUAAAAAUGGUAACAUGACACCCCCUGACGUCAGCCAUGCUUGGACAACACACUGCCCGAGGAAAUGGGCAUUAACGCCGACUUGAUAUGCGCCAGCGUCACCCGCUCCCAGUAAACGACUCCACCGUCUGACCCCGCGCGCUCAGCCGAGACAGAGGAGGACGUCGACCGAGGCUCACCCAUACCCUGCGGCAGCCGGUUCUCCACGCAACCCCAGUGGCAAUGUCAGACGCCAUCAGAGGUACGGUCCUGCUCCUGCAGGCAGCCACAUCAGUUAACAUCAAAUUCAUCUAUAAAUACCCCAGAGUUCUAGACGAACGAGGGAGAGGAGAAAACACAGACACAACACUUAUAUGGAGGCAUUUUCCUCCUCCUAAACCCCCUCCACAUCACUAACUUGAUCGUCGGAGGGGUCGGGCCAAGCUCCCGGCCCGACCUGUGUGCAGGUGCAAGACGGGGUCGACUCUUCCCAGCGCUGCGACGACGCACUCCCCCCGACGCGACGUCCCGAUCGGACCGUCGAGACAGGCCACUGGGAGACCUCGAAGGACACCGCCCGAGAUCCCCGACAUCCGGACCCCCGAACCGAGCCGCGACGGCCUCGAGUACACGGCUUAAACAGAUGCCCCCCGCAUCAGCUGUCGAUUGCGACAAGACAGAUCAAGGGGAGAAGAGGUGGACGCUCGGCUUGUAUGAAGUCCGUUGGUGGCCACGAAGAGAGGCGAGGAAGGGAAGAGGAGGAGAUAACCGAUAGCUUGGCGAGGAUGACGGCGCCGCCAAUUGCGAUGGAUACUAUGUCGAAUUGGGAAAUAUGUCGAGGAGACGAGUAUUUGAUUUUAUUUAUUUAUUUUAUGUAUUCAAAUCACGUAAUUAAAUUAAUUAAUUAAAUUUAUGAUUAAUUUUUAAAUAUUAAAUUUUCGUAUAUGUUUGUAUCAUUAUCUUCUAUCAAAAUUCCUUCUCUCUCUCUCUCUCAAUUAUAAACUAAGACAAUACUACGGAAUUAGAUGAGCCGAACAUGUGGUGAAGGCGGCAUGGGGAGAGGCUUAUGACCGACCAGCUAUCAAGAAAGAAAUGAAGCCCAUUCCUUCACUUCCCCAUAGAAUUUAAUUCUCUCUUCUUAUUCUGUGGUUAACCGGAAACAAGAGGGUGUCAUGUGUGCUCGUAUGUGUAGUUUACCUUACAUUAUGUUCUGUA
rnacentral:lncRNA from 1 species